AGAAGCAGAGGAAAGCAAAUGAAUAGAUUCAUCAAAUCUUGUAGUGUUAUUUCCGCACCGGCCUUAUUAACAGAAUCUCGAUCUUAUAAACUGGCCAUCUUGGGAGGUUUGUGAUCUUGUCGAGUGAUCUUAUAUGGGUUGACUCUCGUUUCUCUUCUUGAUAAAGUCCAAGAGAAAAAGGUCUUCCAAAAUCGAUAGGCUGGGAAUUUGAUCCUCUCUCAUAAAGGCGCACACCGAUGAUUAGAAGAUGUAUCUACAAGUGCCCAAAAAAAUUGAGAUUCAAUACAACAAGCAGUUUAAAGAACUGAUUGAAAAUGUACACCUCCUACAGAAGAUUAACCAUACGUAAUGCAAACUGAAAUUAGUGAUUGUGAAAAUUUAGAAACCAAAAAAGAGACAGCUUCAAUUUUGUACAAGAACAGUUCUUAGGUUUUUAGGUAAACUUGUGAAUGAGGAAGAGAGUAAGUUGUUAACUUGUUUAUUUUUUUUAUAUAUUGUAUUCAAUUAAAUCUUUUGAUACUAAUGAGUAAUAACGUUUGGUGCCUAUUACGGUAACAACCCGGAUUUAAUGCUUAUUUACCGGGAUUUAUCGCACCACUUUGAUUCUCUAAUUAAUUUCUUAUACUCCUUUGUAAAAUUAAAUCUUUGGGUACUAAUGAGUAAUGACCGAUAAUCUUUGGAUAUCAAUGACCGAAGAGUAAUGACAGUUGGUGCUUAUUUCGUCCGUCUUUCUUCAACUACUAAAUUGUAUACUCUCCUAAAAUUGAAAACUGUUUCUCUAGUUAAAAAUUCCAGUAAGAAUUUUUUUCUGAGAAAGGGCUAAAAAUUCCAGUAAGAAUUAUUUUCUUAUUUCCCAUACAAACAUAAUCCUUCUUUAACUUGGCAUCACUAAAUUUAUAUCUCUCCAUUGCCAUUUUAUUUAUUUUGUUUCCAUAACAUAGGUUUGCUAACACUUCCAUUUAAUUUUAUAUAACUAUAUUACAUAAACGACAAUGAAUAUUACUAAAAGAUCUAUGUCACGAUUGUUACGAAAUCUCUUUUUGUCAUAGUUAUGUUACUAAUUGUGACGAAAAUUAACUACGGCUUAGAUCGUCACAAUAUCAUGACUAAACAGUUGCUAUUUUAUGACUACAACUUCUUAAUCACAUUAAUGUCUCUAGAAUGUCACAGUUUGUGACGAAAAUUAACUACGGCUUAGAUUGUCACAAUAUUGUGACUAAACAGUUACUAUCAUAUGACUGAAAAAUUUAGUCACAUUAAUGUCUCUAGAAUGUCGCAGAUUUGUGACAAAACAAAAAAAGAGGGCUAUUGUGACAGAAUUUUGAGACAAAAAAAGAGGGCUAUUGUCACUACAAAAUGGGGGCAAACGAGAGUAAACUCCUUCAUUAUGUAUAUGAUUUUCUUAAGAAAAUGUAUUAGGCAAUUAGAUUGUCAUAAUGGGUCAUGUUGGGCUCUUUCUCCUUCUUUAACAAUGCCACUCAAUUGGCCUGUAUUUUUAUUUCUCCUUUAUUUAUCUAAUAGUAAACCAAGGAGUGGUUCGUUUCACAAUUUGUCAUUUCCAUCUAGCCGAUCCAUUUGUAAGAUCCAUCCAGGUGAUCCAUUCAAAUUUUGUGGGACUGUUUGUUUGUCCAUCCAGAUGGUUCAUCUAGAUGAAUUAUCAGAAAUGAUUUAUGUUAGUUUCUUUAUUUCUAUUUCCAUCCAUAUGAAUUUAGUAUACAAAUUACUAAUAUACACUUGUUUUGAUUUAAUCAUAUGUUUGAUAAUUUUAACUAUAUUGACUUUUAUUAUUUAGUAAUAUAUUUACAUUGAAACUAUUUUAAAAUUAGGUUUUCAGGUUUUUUCGGGAAAAGUAAAAUUUUCAAUUUUUGAGGAAAAAAAAUGAAAUUUCGGUUUUAGUAGAAAACACAAUUUUUUUUGAAAACACAAUUUUGUAUGUUGACGGGAAAAUGAAUUUUUCAGUUUUUUGCGGGAAAUAACACUUUCUGGUUUUGGCGGGAAAAUAUGAUUUUCCGGCAGCAAAAUAUGAUUUUCGGCGGAAAAUGAGUUUUUUAGGUUUUUGCGGAAAAUUCAUUUUUUGGUAUUGGCGGGAAAACACGAUUUUGAUUUUUGCGGGAAACAAGAUUGUUCGCUUUUAGCGGGAAAAUGUGUUUUUUUUUUGUUUUGGCGGAAAACACAAUUUUUUUGGUUUUGCGAAAAUGUUAUUUUCGGUUUUGGUGGAAACGCAUUUUUUUUGUUUUCACGGGGAAACACGAUUUUUAUCGGUUUUUGCAAAAAAUGAGAUUUUUUUUAGUUUUAGCCGAAAACGCAAUUUUUGGUUUUUGCGGACACAAGACUUUUUCGGUUUUUGAGGGAAUGUAAUUUUCCAAUUUUGACGAUAAAACGUUUUUUUUUGUUUCGAGGGAAAGCGACAUUUUUUUUUGCGGAAAACAAGAUUUUCGAUUUUUGAAGGAAACCAUGAUUUUUUUUUUGUUUUGGCAGGAAAACACAAUUUUUUGUUUUGGCGUGAAAAUGUGUUUUUCGGUUUUGGCACGAAAAUGCUAUUUUUGUUUUUGUAGAAACAUGAGAUUUUUGGUUUUUUCUGGCAAACAAUAUUAUCUGAUUUAGAGAAAAAAAUGAGAUUUUCCUAUUUUGACGAGAAAAUUUUUUUUUUUGCUUUGGCGGAUAUUUUCGGAUUGGGUGGGAAAGUGCCAUUUUCGGUUUGAUAUGAAAACGAGAGUUUUUAGUUUUGAUGGGAAAAAGUUUUGUGGAAAAACAAAUUUUAUUGUUUUUGCUGGAAAAAGAAAUUUUUGGUAUUGGCGAGAAAAAAUACGACUUUUCGUUUUUAUAGGAAAAAUAUUUUUUGUGUGGUUUUGGCGAAAAUAUACAUUUUUACGGUUUUGUCGUUUUUUCGGGACUGGCAAAAUGAUCUUAGGGUUAGGUUUGUGAUUUGUCAAUUAUAUUAGCGUAUAAUUGACAUUAUCACAUUUUGGUAAAAAAAAUAUUUAAUUAUAUUUGUAUAUAUAAGAUUUAUAUAUAUAUGUAGACGUUUCUAUAUUUCACACUCAGACGGUGUUGCUUGACCGUUGUUUCAAGACGGAUUUAUGAAAGCGCGUAUUGGUCACGAUCAUGAGGAUGGCCAGUUGAACAUGUUACCUCUCGUUUCCUCUCUUUUUAUGUCGCGAUCAGGAAGUCAUGUUUAGACUUUUUCUUCGACGUGUUAUAUUAUAUAUGUCUAAGUCUUCGUUUUUAUCUUAUAAUUUUGGAUGAAGAAAUACAAACCAAAGACUUUUCCUCCAUUGAAAAGUAGCGAACCAAUCAAUCAGCCUUAUGGUUAGUAGUACCACUAACUUAGUAGUAUAUAAACAGAUGAUGGGUAUGAAUAUGUGAUCUUAUAAAUCCUCACCUUCAUUUCCAAAACCAAUAUCCAAAAGUUUUUCAUUUUUUUUCUUUCUUUCUUGUAAACCAUGGGUCUAUUUUCGUUUUGGAAACUUCUAAAGGAGGUGGUGGGUAUGUUAAACGAAUCCCGCAAACUCUUUCUCAAGAACAAGAAGCUGAUGUUCUCUGUCUUUGUAUUUUAUCUCGUGCUCAAUGGUUUACUUUACUUAUUCAACGUCCUUACUAUUACACCCGAGAUAACAAACUUGACUCAAGAUUUAAAUUUGUUACCUACGAUGGAUCCUAGCAGCCCGGAAUACAUGGCCCAACUUAUGAAGGUCUUUGCAGAUUUUCGCCUAUUUGUCGUUUCUUCAGACAUCUUUAACGCUGUCUCCUUCAUCAUCAACAUAUUAUCCGUUCUAGUCAUCGUCCACGCUUCAGCUCUUACUUAUAAAAAGGAGAACGUCAAGUUCAAAGAUUUUGUGGUUCUAAUUCUUAAAUCUUGGAAGGGACCUCUUGUGACCUCUUUCUACAUUUCUCUCUUUAGUCUUGGCUAUUGCUUGUUCUUCCUUAUAAUCAUUUUUCCUAUUCUUUUGUCAUCUUUGAGUAUUGCUUCCUUGUUUUCCUUGGUAUCCAAGAUUUCCGUUUUACUCGUUCUGUUCUUAUUGUUUGCGUCUUAUUUAGCUACUGUCUGGUACCUAUCUAUUGUCAUAUCAGUACUGGAGGAAACUUAUGGGAUACAAGCUUUGGGAGAAGCUGCAAAGAUUGUUAAAGGGAUGAAGCCAAAACUAUUCCUCUUGAAUAUUUUCUACGGUUUAUUGAUCUUUGGUUUAGCUCAGAUCGUGGCUCUAGUGAGUCUAGCGGUCGAUAGGAGCCAGUCAUUUGCGGUUACCUUAGCCACCGGUUUGUAUCUAGCGGUGUUAACAUUUGUGGCGAUGUUUUUACUUAUGACUUACACCGUUGCAUAUUUCCAAUGUAAGAGCCCCCACGGCGAAGACGUUGAGAGGCUGCGGGAUGUUGAGUAUACGACACUACCCACUACUUCGCUUAUAGGAGCAUGAGCAUUGCCUUGAAAUCUUUAAAGAGACGGACAUAAAAUGGUAUAGUCGCAUGGAUGGAUUGUUUGCUUUGGGAUUUGGUAGACCACUGUAAUAAAUAAUAAUCAAUGGUUUGGUUGAUAAUAAUAAUAGUAAUAAUAAUAAAUAUUUUACUUCUUUUAUACCGUUUAUGCCGCAUAUGAUAUCCAUUAGAAACUCAUAAUCCCAAUAUUACAAUCAAAUUUUAUUUAAAUUGUAGAACAAAUAAAAAUCAUAGCGAAUUUUUAUGACAACAAUACCAUUGCAUGUUUCACUAAUCUUGCAGGAUUUGCUAAAUUAAUAAAUGAGUUAAAAAUGUAAACCACUAAAUAGUUAUCUGUUUUGAAUAACUGAAUGAACUAAACCAAGUAUGAAAAUUCUAUCCAGAAUAAGAUCUGUUGCACAGACAGAUUCAAAUUGGAACAAGGGGCCCAAUAGUCGUAUUAUUUUAUACGAGGCUAAAAUUACAUUUGAAAGAUCUAUAAGGACCAAAAACGAAUUUUAAUAAAAAAAUGUUAUAAAGAGCGUAUCUCUCCUCUCCGUCAGUCUCUCUAGGGUUUAACUUGAUCUUUUUCCCCCGAAGCGUCGAGAGAGAGAAAUCAAACGUCGGCAGGCAGCGAUGGCGAGCACCAAAGUUCAGAGGAUUAUGACCCAACCUAUCGUACGUUACUCUUCUCUCUCUUUGAUUUCGAUUUUGAUUUACUUUCUGUCUGUUAAUUGACUGAGUUUCGCUUUGUUUUCCGGCGGCGGAUCCAGAACUUGAUUUUUAGGUUUCUUCAAAGUGUAAGCUCCUUCUUGACUUUUGCUUUACUUGGAGAAGCAUUGAUUUGCGUGGUUCUGAUUCGUGGUUUCGUUAAAUGAUGCAGAAAGCUAGGAUCCAGAUUUGGCUAUUUGAGCAGAAAGAUCUGAGGAUUGAAGGAAGGAUUACUGUAAGUUUUCACUUUGCUUGUUGAAUUUGUUAGUAAUGGAGCUAUGAAUUUAUGAGAUUCAUCGCGCUUAGUUUAUUUGAAAAUCGAGUUUUGAAUAAUGUAUACCUUGUUGCAAAUUUUAUUGAUAUCCUUUGAUUCUUCUCAAGUUAUAACUUAAUAUGUUCUUUAGGGUUGAUUAAGUUAAAGAUUGAAUCUUUUCUUGGACUUUGUGCUCUUUCAGAGAAACUUAAGAUGUUGAUUGUCAUUCUCAUUCCCUUUAAACUUGGAGUUGUCUGCUUUUUAUGUUCCUCGUUUUACUUCUUGGUUUAAGGUUAAAGUUUUCUUUUUACCAAAAAAAAAGGGUGGAAGUUUUCUUCUGAGUGUUUUUGAUUGUGUCAUUCUCAUUGAAUUAAAACUUGAAGUUGCUUACUUGACUUUGGAUAUCCCUUUGAAAGCAUUUUUUUUAUUGCUAUACUUUUAUUAUUCUGAGUUGUUAUAGAGAUUCAAGAUUUUCUUAAAUUGACUCUGUGCUAGUUCAGAGAAACUUGAGAUAAAUGAUGUUGUCAUCCUCAUUGUUUUAAAAAGUAAACAUACUUGACUUUGGAUGUUCCUUGUUUCAAUUUGUAUUGCUUUCCUUUGAUUCUUCUCGAGUUAUAAAUGAAGCUAUUCUCUAGGGUUGAUUCUGUGUUAAUUCAGAGAAAUGUGACAUAGAUGAUUGUGUCAUUGUUAUUACUUGAUUAUGUAGUUGCCUACUUUCACUUGGAUACAGUAUUUUAUUCUCUUGAGUUAAAGACUGAAUCUUUUUUUAGACUAUGUGCUCAUUCAGAGAAACUUAACAUGUAUGAUUGUCAUUCUCAUUCUCCUAAAACUUGGAGUUGUCUACUUUGUAUGUUCCUCGUUUCAUUCUUCUCGGGUUAAGGCUAAAGUUUUCUUCGGAUUGUCUUUUUUUCUUUCUUUCGAGGUGUCUUUAGAUUUGUGAUUAUAUCAUUCUCAUUGGUUUAAAAGAUUGAGUUGCGUAAUUGAUUUUGUAUAUCCCUUUGAAAUCAUUUUUUAUUCCUAUACUUUUAUUAUUCCGAGUUAUAGAUAUUCAACCCUUUCUUAAAUUGACUCUGUGCUAGUUAAGAGAAACUUGAGAUAAAUGAUGUCGGCAUCCUCAUUGGUUUAAAUCUUAAACAUACCUGACUUUAGAUGUUCCUUUACAAUUUUGUAUCGCUAUACUUGUUUCCCACAUAUCUAUGUUAGUUCGGACAAAUUUGAGAUCAUGACAUUCUGGUUGAUUCCUUGUUUCAAUUUCUCUCCUUUUAACAGGGUUUUGACGAGUACAUGAACCUAGUGUUGGAUGAAGCUGAAGAAGUGAGCAUCAAGAAGAACACCAGGAAACCACUUGGUGAGGACUCACUCUUUGACAACAAGUCUCUGAUUUGAUUUGUUUGCUUUUGGUUCAGUAACUCGAAUGUAAAUGCCUAUUUGCAGGAAGGAUUCUACUCAAAGGAGACAACAUAACUCUGAUGAUGAACACGUAAGUAAACACAAUCUCUACUUUGUCCUUUCUCUUUUUUUCAUGUCGCAACUUGUUCAAGAAACUGAAAACACAAUCAUCCAUUUCUAUGUUGACAGGGGAAAGUAAUGUCUGUUCUCAACAAACUAUCUCGAGGAUUAGUGGAUCGGUUUUUACUAUCUCCAAAUCUUUUGCUAAAUAUAUGUUGAGUUAAGUUCUUCUUCAGUUAACUGAUAAUGCCUUCUUCUCUUCAUGAUCGUGUAAUAUUGCGAUGUAGUGACAAGUUUGAAAAAUUAUGGAACUUGGUUGAAUCUUAUGGACGUAAUAUUGUCAUAGGUUUUCAAAAAAAAAAGUGGAGUUUUUAUAUUACAGUUUACUAAAAACGAUAUUUGUUGCAACUUUUUUUCAGACAAAAAUAACCAGUUUGAUUUAAAUUAAAAUAUGGUGUCUUGAUUUGUAUAAUUUUAUGUUUGGUAACCGCCUAGAACCCAAAACUAUAAUUAACAUAGAAAAUUAUAAUAUUACAAUCAGUAUAAAAUGCGGUCUGUACUUUAAAUUAAAUUGAUGCCAGUACCGUAAAACCUUAACACGACUAAAGUUAGCUACACCAAUCAGAAUAAUAUGUGAAAAAAUAGUGAUGGUUAUCGUUUAAAGGUGUUGUGUAAAGUUAACAUAGAAAUAAAGAAAUCUGUGAGCGUCCGUGCCGUCGCCGGAGUCCAUUUUCUUUUGGUUAAAAACGUUCCCCGGCUUCUUUUUCACCUUCUCUUCCUGUUCGUUUUGUCGGAGCUCUGUCCAGUUCCCAUCCGGGGUGGUCAACUCGGGGAGUGAACAGACACACGUGGUGGCGCGGUGGCUGGAGUAACGAUGCGACUGGGUUAAGGGUGAGGUGGGGUGAGGUCGGUUUGUCAGAUUAGGUUUUCCCGGGAGGUGGAGGCUUCUACAGAUCCACCGCCGCCGGUCUAGUUUCCGGGAGGCGGAGGCUUCGUUAGCUCCGCUUUCGCCGGCUCCAGUUUCCGGGGGGUGAAGGUGUUCUUUGCCUUGCGCCGCCGGCUUUUAGUCUCCUAGGGUUGUUAGGGUUUGUUUUUUAUCCUUGGUUUUUGCGGUUUCGGUUUGGUCUAGUUGGAGGAGUUCUCGUCGGAAGACGAUCGAAGAAAUGCCUAUUUGCAGGAAGGAUUCUACUCAAAGGAGACAACAUAACUCUGAUGAUGAACACGUAAGUAAACACAAUCUCUACUUUGUCCUUUCUCUUUUUUUCAUGUCGCAACUUGUUCAAGAAACUGAAAACACAAUCAUCCAUUUCUAUGUUGACAGGGGAAAGUAAUGUCUGUUCUCAACAAACUAUCUCGAGGAUUAGUGGAUCGGUUUUUACUAUCUCCAAAUCUUUUGCUAAAUAUAUGUUGAGUUAAGUUCUUCUUCAGUUAACUGAUAAUGCCUUCUUCUCUUCAUGAUCGUGUAAUAUUGCGAUGUAGUGACAAGUUUGAAAAAUUAUGGAACUUGGUUGAAUCUUAUGGACGUAAUAUUGUCAUAGGUUUUCAAAAAAAAAAGUGGAGUUUUUAUAUUACAGUUUACUAAAAACGAUAUUUGUUGCAACUUUUUUUCAGACAAAAAUAACCAGUUUGAUUUAAAUUAAAAUAUGGUGUCUUGAUUUGUAUAAUUUUAUGUUUGGUAACCGCCUAGAACCCAAAACUAUAAUUAACAUAGAAAAUUAUAAUAUUACAAUCAGUAUAAAAUGCGGUCUGUACUUUAAAUUAAAUUGAUGCCAGUACCGUAAAACCUUAACACGACUAAAGUUAGCUACACCAAUCAGAAUAAUAUGUGAAAAAAUAGUGAUGGUUAUCGUUUAAAGGUGUUGUGUAAAGUUAACAUAGAAAUAAAGAAAUCUGUGAGCGUCCGUGCCGUCGCCGGAGUCCAUUUUCUUUUGGUUAAAAACGUUCCCCGGCUUCUUUUUCACCUUCUCUUCCUGUUCGUUUUGUCGGAGCUCUGUCCAGUUCCCAUCCGGGGUGGUCAACUCGGGGAGUGAACAGACACACGUGGUGGCGCGGUGGCUGGAGUAACGAUGCGACUGGGUUAAGGGUGAGGUGGGGUGAGGUCGGUUUGUCAGAUUAGGUUUUCCCGGGAGGUGGAGGCUUCUACAGAUCCACUGCCGCCGGUCUAGUUUCCGGGAGGCGGAGGCUUCGUUAGCUCCGCUUUCGCCGGCUCCAGUUUCCGGGGGGUGAAGGUGUUCUUUGCCUUGCACCGCCGGCUUUUAGUCUCCUAGGGUUGUUAGGGUUUGUUUUUUAUCCUUGGUUUUUGCGGUUUCGGUUUGGUCUAGUUGGAGGAGUUCUCGUCGGAAGACGAUCGAAGCUAUCCGAUGUUGAAGGUUUGGUUGUGCCGGCGAAGCUUCCUCCCAGUUCCGGCGACGAAAGGAGACGGAUGAGAUCUCGGAUUACCGAUUGACUCUCUCCACUAUUGGGAACUCGCGGUUGGAAGCGGUUGCGGCGUUGAAGUUUGGAAGUCAGUGAGUGUCGGUUCUGCCGGUGGAUCGCUGGGUUGAUCACCGGUGGUGGCUGGAAGCGGGGGCACGCUGUGAGCGAACGGCGACGCCGUUUUUAGUUUCUCUCUAGGGUUUCGUUUUGGUAGGCCUUGGGCCUUUGUUUGUAAUUCUGGGCUUGGCCCAUUAAGUUAUAAAAUCAUCUAUUGACGGAAAAAAAAAAAAAAUAAAGAAAUCUGUGAACCUAAUCGUUUACCAUUGCAAUUAGAUCUUUAAAUUCAUGUAAUCUACAUUAUAAAACCACAUCAAAUCUUAUCUCCGGUCAUAUAGUGAUGUGUUUUGUACUUUUGCACUUAUUAUAAUCGUAUACAAAAAUCAAAUAAUUAGUCUUUAAUACAAACUCCAAAGUCCCAUUAAACUUUAUAUUCUCAACUUUAGAAUGUAGCAUGUGCUAAAAAUACAUACAGUAGCCGCCGGGCCAACAAUGUCUACUACCAUUAAAUUAAACAAACAAUAAAGUGGUGGCAAUACAAGCCUACGGUGGUCUCGCCCGCACCGGAUACUCAUCUUAAGCUUCGAAUGGUAAUCAUCAUCCUGACUUAUCCCGCAGUUAACAGUAACAAAAAUCUCUAUAUAUAUAUUAUAUAUCUAUACAUUUUUAUAACUGUUAAAACCACACUGCAGUUAAACUGCUUGUUCCGCACCGCUUAAACCGCAGUAACCAUUCGAAGCUUUACUAAAACCAGUCAAAGCACUCGACUAAUGACAGACCAAGACAAGUAGUUGAAGAAAUUAAUUACGACACAACACAGCUUCGGAUCUUCUCUCUCCUAUCCAAAACCAAACACCAUUUCUGAGGUAAUUUUUUUCUCUCUCCUUGAAAUCGAAUUUCAGUUUCUCUCUUCACGUUUGUAAAGUAGCUCAAAGUGAAAAUCUGCGUUCGAUUUGCUGUGGUAAUUGUUGGAUUUGGAGGGGAGAAUCGAGAGCUUUGUGAUUCCUUAUCAUUGGGUUUGAGAUUGGUGAAGUGUCUUUGCUUGUCUCAGUCUUACAGAUCGAUAGCUUUUGGAGAUUUUAGCUGAGGAGAAAAAUGCAUACGAGGUAUAUGGAGAGGACUAAUAGUAUGAGAGAAAAGAGAAAACUUGAGGAAGAAGAUGAUAAUAACAAUCAGCAGCCUGAGCGUAAAAGGCCCGCUCUUGCAAGGUAAUCUAUGUUCAUACUUGUAUCAGUUACAAACCCUUUACUUUGUUUUGUUUCUAAAUUGAUUGAAACGGUAGUGCCUUUAUAACUGUGUAUGAUUCUUUCAGUGUGAUUGUGGAAGCCCUGAAGAUGGAUAGUUUACAGAGGCUUUGCUCUUCUUUGGAACCCAUUCUUCGCCGAGUGGUAAGCCUUUUCUCAUGUCUUUUGUUGAUUUGUGGUGUCUAUUGAGCCUCUCUUGUCAAACAGGUAAGUGAAGAGGUGGAGCGAGCAUUGGCGAAACUAGGCCCUGCAAGAGUUAGUGAGAGGUAAUAAACACAUGACAUUUCUAAGGGAAAAUGGUUAGAGAGUAAUGAUUUGAGUUUUACAGGUCUUCUCCUAAACGUAUCGAAGGCAUUGGUGGAAGAAACUUACAGCUACAGUUCAGGUCUAGAUUGUCUGUUCCUUUAUUCACCGGAGGGAAGAUAGAAGGAGAGCAAGGCGCCGCCAUCCACGUUGUACUUCUAGAUUCCACAACAGGACGUGUACUGACAACAGGACCCGAAGCUUCUGCUAAGCUCGAUGUUGUUGUGCUCGACGGUGAUUUCAACAACGAAGACGAUGAAGGCUGGAGUGAAGAAGAGUUCGAAAGUCAUUUGGUGAAAGAGCGUCAAGGGAAGAGGCCUCUUUUGACCGGUGACGUGCAGGUGACGCUGAAAGAAGGCGUGGGGACGUUAGGUGAGCUUAUCUUUACGGAUAACUCGAGCUGGAUAAGGUGUAGAAAGUUUAGGCUGGGGUUGAAGGUUUCUUCUGGUUACUGUGAGGGGAUGCGUGUGCGCGAGGCGAAGACGGAAGCUUUUACAGUCAAGGACCAUCGUGGAGAGUGUAAGUUGUUGUUUCACAUUGAGGCAAAAGACUAUUCUUGUUUUUGGCCUAAUGGUUUAUUCAUGUACAGUGUACAAGAAACAUUAUCCACCUGCGUUGGAUGAUGAGGUGUGGAGGCUGGAGAAGAUUGGAAAAGACGGAGCUUUCCAUAAGAAACUGAACAAAGCAGGGAUCUACAAUGUUAAAGAGUUCUUGCGUCUUAUGGUCAAGGAUGCUCAGAAGCUAAGGACUGUAAGUGCAUUAUCUUAUCAAAGAUGUUUGAAGUAUUUAUCAUGAUAAUGAUUAUUACUAUCUUUUUCAGAUUCUUGGGAGUGGGAUGUCAAAUAGGAUGUGGGAGACACUUGCUGAGCAUUCAAAGACAUGCGUCUUGAGUGAAAUGCUUUAUGUGUACUAUCCUGAGGACUCGGUUGGUGUUGUUUUCAACAAUAUUUAUGAAUUUAGUGGUCUCAUCUCUGGGAAGCAGUAUUAUCCUGCUGAUUCUCUUUCUGACAGCCAAAAGGUUUGUGUUUGAGCACUUGUUCUUCUAUCCUAUACUUGGUAAAUAGUAACAUGUUGAGAUAUAUAACUUAGGUUUAUGUGGAUGGAUUGGUGAGGAAAGCAUAUGAAAACUGGGAUCAAGUUAUUGAGUAUGACAGCAAGUCACUUAUGAACUUCAAUCAAGUUAACAAAGUGGAUGCUUUGGAUUACUCUAUGCCAGUUUCUGUUCCAAGCCAACCCUCUACAUCUUAUUCUGGUGAAGGUAGAGAUCCAUUAGCCACUAAUCUUUUUUUUUCUUUUCUUUUUUUGACCAAAGGGUCAUUAGCUCAGGACCAUGACCAUUGUGUCAGACGUCCCUAGUUCGAGUGACCGCUGGGACGAAACUAAUAGGGCUUCGUCCCGAACCUUUAUUCAUAAAAUAAAAUUAUUUUUCUUUUGGUGUCAAACCAAAGUUACAGUGUCAUUCAUUUUUUCUUUUUCAGCAUCAGUGUACAGCCAGAGUCAGGGUACAAGCUUCCCGGCUCAGUCUCAGUUAGCUGAUACUACUUCUUACAUGCACUUUGGAAACAGUUCAUAUGCACCACCGCAAGACCAGCUGAUUAACAACACUCAUGAAUCACAAAUCAUGAUCAAUAGCAAUGGCGGUGAGAGACUGGCCCUAGGUCUUUGUUUUGUUUCUAAAUUGAUUGAAACGGUAGUGCCUUUAUAACUGUGUAUGAUUCUUUCAGUGUGAUUGUGGAAGCCCUGAAGAUGGAUAGUUUACAGAGGCUUUGCUCUUCUUUGGAACCCAUUCUUCGCCGAGUGGUAAGCCUUUUCUCAUGUCUUUUGUUGAUUUGUGGUGUCUAUUGAGCCUCUCUUGUCAAACAGGUAAGUGAAGAGGUGGAGCGAGCAUUGGCGAAACUAGGCCCUGCAAGAGUUAGUGAGAGGUAAUAAACACAUGACAUUUCUAAGGGAAAAUGGUUAGAGAGUAAUGAUUUGAGUUUUACAGGUCUUCUCCUAAACGUAUCGAAGGCAUUGGUGGAAGAAACUUACAGCUACAGUUCAGGUCUAGAUUGUCUGUUCCUUUAUUCACCGGAGGGAAGAUAGAAGGAGAGCAAGGCGCCGCCAUCCACGUUGUACUUCUAGAUUCCACAACAGGACGUGUACUGACAACAGGACCCGAAGCUUCUGCUAAGCUCGAUGUUGUUGUGCUCGACGGUGAUUUCAACAACGAAGACGAUGAAGGCUGGAGUGAAGAAGAGUUCGAAAGUCAUUUGGUGAAAGAGCGUCAAGGGAAGAGGCCUCUUUUGACCGGUGACGUGCAGGUGACGCUGAAAGAAGGCGUGGGGACGUUAGGUGAGCUUAUCUUUACGGAUAACUCGAGCUGGAUAAGGUGUAGAAAGUUUAGGCUGGGGUUGAAGGUUUCUUCUGGUUACUGUGAGGGGAUGCGUGUGCGCGAGGCGAAGACGGAAGCUUUUACAGUCAAGGACCAUCGUGGAGAGUGUAAGUUGUUGUUUCACAUUGAGGCAAAAGACUAUUCUUGUUUUUGGCCUAAUGGUUUAUUCAUGUACAGUGUACAAGAAACAUUAUCCACCUGCGUUGGAUGAUGAGGUGUGGAGGCUGGAGAAGAUUGGAAAAGACGGAGCUUUCCAUAAGAAACUGAACAAAGCAGGGAUCUACAAUGUUAAAGAGUUCUUGCGUCUUAUGGUCAAGGAUGCUCAGAAGCUAAGGACUGUAAGUGCAUUAUCUUAUCAAAGAUGUUUGAAGUAUUUAUCAUGAUAAUGAUUAUUACUAUCUUUUUCAGAUUCUUGGGAGUGGGAUGUCAAAUAGGAUGUGGGAGACACUUGCUGAGCAUUCAAAGACAUGCGUCUUGAGUGAAAUGCUUUAUGUGUACUAUCCUGAGGACUCGGUUGGUGUUGUUUUCAACAAUAUUUAUGAAUUUAGUGGUCUCAUCUCUGGGAAGCAGUAUUAUCCUGCUGAUUCUCUUUCUGACAGCCAAAAGGUUUGUGUUUGAGCACUUGUUCUUCUAUCCUAUACUUGGUAAAUAGUAACAUGUUGAGAUAUAUAACUUAGGUUUAUGUGGAUGGAUUGGUGAGGAAAGCAUAUGAAAACUGGGAUCAAGUUAUUGAGUAUGACAGCAAGUCACUUAUGAACUUCAAUCAAGUUAACAAAGUGGAUGCUUUGGAUUACUCUAUGCCAGUUUCUGUUCCAAGCCAACCCUCUACAUCUUAUUCUGGUGAAGGUAGAGAUCCAUUAGCCACUAAUCUUUUUUUUUCUUUUCUUUUUUUGACCAAAGGGUCAUUAGCUCAGGACCAUGACCAUUGUGUCAGACGUCCCUAGUUCGAGUGACCGCUGGGACGAAACUAAUAGGGCUUCGUCCCGAACCUUUAUUCAUAAAAUAAAAUUAUUUUUCUUUUGGUGUCAAACCAAAGUUACAGUGUCAUUCAUUUUUUCUUUUUCAGCAUCAGUGUACAGCCAGAGUCAGGGUACAAGCUUCCCGGCUCAGUCUCAGUUAGCUGAUACUACUUCUUACAUGCACUUUGGAAACAGUUCAUAUGCACCACCGCAAGACCAGCUGAUUAACAACACUCAUGAAUCACAAAUCAUGAUCAAUAGCAAUGGCGGUGAGAGACUGGCCCUAGGUCAAACAACAGGAUCGCAAAACCAGCACUUGGUUCAGCCUCCUCCUGAGGUUAACCCUUUUAAUGAUUGGUCAAACACAGGGAACAGAGGAGGAGGUGAUGGGUUUUUAUCAGAGGAGGAGAUAAGGGCAAGAAGUAAUGAAAUGCUCGAGAACGAUGAUAUGCAGCAGCUGUUGAGACUCUUUAGCAUGAGCGGUGGUGGUGGUGGUGGUGGCCCGCAAACUCCAAUGAACAUGGGGGAAGACGGGUUUGGGUUCCAAUCUUUUGGUCAGUCUUCAAUGGAUGGUUAUGGAGAAGACCGGUCGCAGCCGGGUAAGCCUGUUGUUGGAUGGCUAAAGAUCAAAGCAGCUAUGAGAUGGGGCUUCUUCAUCAGAAGGAAAGCUGCUCAGAGACGUGCGCAGAUUGUUGAACUCGAUGACGACCAAUAAGGUUACAGGAGAGUUUCUUUAUGAUGGUUGAUAUAACAGUUUCCCAGAAGAAGUAAAGUCUUUUGUGUUGGUUUCUUCUUGUGGAGCUUCUUCAUUUGUACAGUAAGAUAUUCUUCUCUCUUCCUUGCUUGUGCUUAUAAUGUAAUCUCAGUUUUCAAGAAACUAAAAACAUGUUGUAAUUCUGUUGUUGAUUCUCUCUCUGUUGUGUGUCGUUGUGCUACUUGCUUGUCAUAUUAUUUUCAUUGAACUCGAGGAACAGUGAUAAAACUAAGCUGUUUUAGGCCAUGUCUUAAGAUUUUUGAUUAAACAAUGAGGUUUUUGUUUUUUUGUCGGCAACAAUUUCAUAGCCCAGUGUCCAUUACAUUGAUAUCGGUCCGGAGAGCAGGGCCCAACAUUUCAUAUUUUUAUUGAAACUAGUAUUUUUAUAGAAAAAUUAAUUACAAAAAAUUUUAACAACCAGAUAAGUAUAUACUUUAAUUUAUCCAUCAAAUGAUUAAAAUUAGAGAAAAAGACUAGGAUAGCACCAAACUAAGUUUAUGUUCCCAAAGUAGCACUCAAGGUUCAAAGUCACAAAAAUAUGUUUCAUUAAAGAGGUAAAUAUACAUUUAUACCCCUUGAUUUAAUUAAUCCAAACCUUAGGGUUUAGAGUUCUUUUUUUCAUUUUUUUACUUUUUAUUUUAUUUAUUUUUAUUUAUUUUUGUUUGUUUAUUUAAUUUUAAACCAAAGAUAUUAGGGAUAUUUUACCCUUUAAUGAAUGUCAUUUUUGUGACUUUUCUCCUUCUAGUGCUAUUUUUUAGACAUAAACUUCAAAAGUUGCUAUUACUGACAAUUGCCCUUAAAAUUAUUCAAUUAAAAAUUUAAAAAGUAUAUAAUAUUAGUUCUGGUGUAAAAUUUUGUGUAAUUUCUACACCAAAUUUAUUGUCAUGGUUAAAAAUGAUUAGGACACAUUAAAAAUAUUUAUUAUCAGUUUUACAUUGUCUAGAUUAGUAUUUUUUUUUUAAUUUUUAUUUAUUACCUUAAUUUUUGGAUAUCAGAUACUAAUCUAUAUUUUUAAUCUAAUAUUUGUUUUGUAGUAUUAAAUAUAUAUAAAUUAAAAAUUAUAAAAUAUAACUAGAAAUCUUAUACAUAAUGAAAAAGUAUUCAUUAUAUAUCUUUCAACUAAAGAAUGAAGUUAGUGAAUAAAGAUGUUGUAAAACUUGCAUACCUAAGAAAAUAAAUUUAUAAUAUACAUAUGUAUGCAUUUAUUGGAUUGCAUAUUAAUUUUUUUUAAAUCAAUAGUUGUGAUUUUAGUUAUUUUUAAUGUAUAUUAACUUUAAUAUUUGAUUUAAUUUAUAAAUUACAUAUAUCUAGAUUUUUUAAGAUCUAUAUGGAUAACUGAUUGAACCAAAUAUUACAAAUAUUUCAUCUAUCCGAAGUACCUUCAAAGUUUUAUACAAACUAGGUUUGUGUCCGCGCUACGCGCGGAUUAUGUGGUUAUAUAAUUUUCUGUUAAAAUUCAGUAUACAUAUAUAUCAUGUUUGAUAGUUCUAUCCUUAAAAGUGCAAAGUUUGGUCUUGAAAAGGAGCUAGAAAUGUUGUCCAUUAAUAAUGUUUUGUUUAUGAUUUCUUUUGGCUUUAAGUUGGUAAAACACACCAUUCAUGUAAGUUCAAUAUUUGCACAAUUUAGAGUCAAUUAGAAUUGGACAUUUUGAAUAUAACUAAAGUUUUUGUUACUGUAUACGAUGAACUUUUGUUUUUAGAUAAUAUUCAUGAAUUGCCUCAAAAUAUGUUCAUUAAUAAAAAAUCUGGUUCUAAUGUUAACUCUUGUAGGCUGCACCGCGUGCUUUGUCCAAACUUUAAUAUUAAACAUAAAUUUCAAUGUUUAAUAUCAAAGUACCUUAGUUUUAUCAUCUAAUUAAUCAUGUAAUUAGUUUAAUGGUUGUGUAGGUAGGGAACGAACCAUAAGUUUGGCAAAAGAAGUGAUAUAUUGGCAAAGAAACUGAUAUUAUCUUCAGAUGUAGUUUAUACUUGCAACAGUAAAAAAAAAUAUUACAAAACAUAAAUAAUUGUUAACGAACUUCAACAGAAUUUCUCUGCUUACUGUGUUUUAUUCUUAAUCCCAAGUGAAUGUUAUACACUAUUAAUGAGAUACAUGCAUGCAGCCAAACAUGUGGAGAUUCGUACCAACUGGUGAUAUUUUUAAUAAUUAAAGUGAUGGUUUCUUAUGUUUCUGAUUGAAUAUUUUCUUGAGCAAAUAAAAAUGUUAUCGGCAUCAACGUCGUAGCCUAGUUGAGAUUUAACUUGUAAGGAAUCCAAUAUGGAAAGUAACCCCCUUAUAAUCUCAAGGAAUCCAAAUUCUUUAAUAGACUGAUCAUAUUCUACUGUUUCGAACAACAAAUUAAAUCAGUUCUUCACGAAAGGGAAGAGAAUCAGGGCUGGAUUUGAGUGUUUUAAGUGAAAAUUCCUAAUCAUCUCACUUUGUGUAUUAUCCGGAGAAACCACUUAAAAGAGCCAUAACCUACAAAAGUGACAAACAAUCACAUGAAUUGUGUAUUGUCCGGAAGAAGCUUGAAAGAUUUUAAUAGUAAUUAGCAAGAUCGCGAAAAGUUUGAGGCACCAAAUUUUACUUUGAAUACAACUAAGCAGUGAUGCACCCACAAUACAGUAGGAAGAUUCCUGCCCACUGAAUCUCCAUCGAUCAAACUGUUCGAGAAGAAAGUAAGCGAACUGAAUAAACAGAAUCUCUUUCAUACGACAUCAAUAAGUUUUUGGUAUAUAACAGAAAAUUAUGGAUUUUCAGAACAACUAUUCAGUAGAAGCUGUUACCUCUAGGAGUAGGCUUCUUCGUCGAGAGUGUUUUAAGAGACUUGUUCAUGUUUGACUGAUACACAAACAAAGGAAGAAUCUCCAUCAUUGCUACCAUCUCUUCAGCCUUCGUUACCACUAUCCCGUUUUUGCCGUUAUUUCCAGCGUAAUCUAUGUCGUCGCCAUCGAGCCCCGGCUCCAAAUCUCUGAAGGUCUCAUCUUUUGAUCCCUCAUAUGCCCAUUCUCAUUCCUGCACCGAUCUGCGGUAGAUUUCUCCACUGACGACAUCCAAUCGCACAUAUCAUAUUCUCAAUUUCAGAGAAGAGAGUUCGAAGCUUCGAUUGAUCAGUCUGGAUUUGACACCAUGACUGCUGGUAACAAAUGGGAAAAUAAUAUUCCCUAUAUUCCUAAAAGAUACAUAUUCUAUAAUUUUCACACAUUUUAAUAAAAUACAUUAAAUUUGUAUAAUUUUUUGUGUUUAUUUUUUUUCUAUAACUUUAAGCCAAUAAAAAAUCAAUUAGUGCAAUUAAGUUUUUUUGAAGUUUGCAAUUAGUUAAUAAAACAUGUAUUGAAAAAGUAAAAAAUGAAUCUUUUUGAAACAAUUUUUUUCUUUAGAAUAUGUAACUUUAAGGAGCGGAUGGAGUAAUAGUUAGUAAUAUAUAAGUUUGGAGCGGAGAAACCCGGAACAAUUGCUUGGAUUGUUGUAGUAGUGGAGGGUCUUUAUGAGUAGGAGUGGGAAGUAACUUUACAAAGAGAAUUGGAGAAGGUAUAAACAGUAUGGAAGUUUUAGAUAGGAAAUUUUCACAUAUUUUAAUAAAAUACAUUAAAUUUGUAUAAUUUUUUGUGUUUAUUUUUUUCUAUAACUUUAAGCCAAUAAAAAAUCAAUUAGUGUAACUAAAUUUUUUGAAGUUUGCAAUUAGUUAAUAAAACAUGAAUUGAAAAAGUAAAAAAAUGGAUCUUUUUGAAACAAUUUUUUUCUCUAGAAUAUGUAACUUUAAAGAGCGGAGGGAGUAUUAGUUAGUAAUAUAUAAGUUUGGAGCGGAGGAACCCGAAACAAUUGCUUGGAUUGUUGUAGUAGUGGAGGGUCUUUAUGAGUAGGAGUGGGAAGUAACUUUACAAAGAGAGUUGGAGAAGGUGUAAAAGGUAUGGAAGUUUUAGAUAGGAAAAAGAAGAUGAAGUCCAUGAGUCGUUGUACAACUAUUGUUGACUUUACAUGUAAUUAUGGCUUGAUUAUGGACCUGCAAAACAUAACUCAAUUAUAAUAUAAAGGCUCCGUCCAAUUUAUUUUAGUCUCGUAAAUGAAAAGAAGGGUGACAUGUAAAUAUGAUGCUAAGCUGUCGAUUUAACAGGUUGAGAAUAUUUUAGCUGACGUGUCCUAUCUCAGAAACCUUAAAAAUAGUAGCUUUUAUAUAGUAGGAUAUUUCAUCUAUCCGAAGUACCUUCAAAGUUUUAUUUUAAAACCGCAAAUAUCCAAAUUUCCGAAGGUAUUCACGAGUAAAAUUUAUUUUCUGUGGAAUAAUUAGACCAAAUAUAUCUGGUAUUAAAUUUCAUUUUCUUUAAAAAAAAGAAUACAAUGGACAUGCAAACUAAAUGUUGGGCCCCAUACUAUAAGUAGUCUCUUUCUCCUCUUCUCCGGUCUCUCCUCUGCUUCAGCUGAAUCUUCCCAAGGACGACCGUUUUGAUUCUAUUCAGGGUAUGGUGGAAUAACAUCUCUUGUUCCUCUUCUUCGCUUCCUCUUGCACGAACGAUCUCACUCUCUCUAAUCUCAUUUUCUUUCUUCCAUUUGCAGGUUUUGAGUAUUCUGGUUGGUACCUCCUGUUCUAUCUCUGUUGUCAUGGACUCUUCUCUCGACGGUACGUCCUCUCUAGGUUUCUUACUUCUUGCAAGAAAAGAAAAACAAGAACUUGCCAUGAUUUUUCGUAAUGUGUGCUUAGUGGGUUUAAAGAUGAUUGAUGUUUCUGCGUUAGUUUUAACUCGAAUGGAAUUGAAAGUUUGAAACUUUUUUGGUUUUUAACUCUUGAAGAUGAACGUAGUGAUGGAUUCCUAAUCUUUUCCUAAGUUUUAUGAAGGAUGGUACCAUAAAGGAUGAAACUUUCUUUGUAUAUAUAUGUACAUGUUCUUGGAACUUAGUAAUGAAUGUGGUUUCUUAUCAUGAAGAAACAGUGUUCAGUCUUUAUAAAACAUGUAAAAUUUACAUCCUUUUUCAUCAUGUAUGAGCUCUGCAGGUGACUCCAUGAAAGGCAGAAAAAUGAGCGUUGAUGAAAAGAGAAAGCUUGUUCAUGAACUCUCAAAAGAUUCGGAUUUAGCCUUCGAAGCCUUGCAGGUGUGGACCCAUGAAGAGAUUCGACAGGUCUUAUGCGCAGAGUUAGGGAAAGAAAGAAAGUACAAGAACUUGACGAAAGCUCAGCUCAUCAACAGCCUCUUGAGAACUGUAUCAGAGAAAAAAGCUCCAACGCCUCCUAUUAAAGGAAACUCUGGAGGAGAUCAAGAAGACAGGAAGAGAGACUCAUCAACAACAACAACAACAAAAACAACUAAGAGAAACUCAAAAAGACAAAGGAAGAACGCUACUCCUACUCGCUAUGUGAGCGCUGAAUCGGUUAAUAAAGCUAAAGGCGGUAUCUACUGUAAGAACUUGGCUUGUCAAGCUGUACUGAGACAGGAAGACUUGUUCUGUCAAAGGUGUUCUUGUUGUGUCUGCCACAAGUAUGAUGACAAUAAAGAUCCUAGUCUCUGGUUAACCUGCGGUUCUGAUCCUCCGUUCCCCGGUGAAUCUUGCGGCUUGUCUUGCCAUCUGGAUUGUGCUUUCAAGAAUGAAAAAUCAGGUCUCAAGCCAAGUAGUGACGUUGAUGGAUGCUUCUACUGUGUCUCUUGUGGCAAAACAAACAGCUUGCUUGAGUAAAAAUCUCAAUCAAUCAAUCUUCUUGAGUUCAGUUUGGACAGAUCUUUAUUUUAUUUUUCUUUCUUAGGUGUUGGAAGAAGCAACUGUUGAUUGCAAAGGAAACCAGAAGCGUUGACGUGCUUUGUAACCGUCUUGUAUUGGCUCAGAAGCUUCUCAAGGGCACGGAGAAGUACAGAAAACUAUCUGAGACCGUGGAGGAAGCUGUGAAGAGUUUGGAAACUGAGUUGUGUGGUGGUCCCCUUACUGAUCUUCCAUCGGCAAUGUGUAGAGGAAACGUAAACAGGCUUGGCUCAGCGCCAAAAGUGAAGGAUCUUUGCUCUUCUGCUUUGAAAUCCCUCCAAGAUACACCAGAGUGUUGCUUCAAAGUUGUUUCCCUUAGAGGCGGCAAACAGUCCAGCGUAGAUGAAACCAAAGUCUCUACAAGAACCCUUCAAGAAGAAGAAGAAGAAACUGUUUCAGAGAAGGUGGUCAAUGGUAAGAGUUCAACAAGCUGCGGGUUUGGGCUGGAGGAUUGCGUGAAGAUUAUGAGACAGCUUGAGUGUUCAGGUUAUGUUGAUAAGAGUUUCAGACAGGAGUUCCUGACUUGGUAUAGCUUAAGAGCCAGUGCUCAGGAGAUGAACGUUGUGAAGACAUUCAUUGAUGCUUUCGGGGACGAUUCAGUAGCUUUAGCUGAGCAGCUCGUCGACACAUUCUCUGAUUGCAUAUCAAGAAAGCGGUGACAAGGAUUCUGUAUGAAGCAGCGGCAUUGAUUGGAAGAAUAUUUAUUUAGAACAAAUUAUCAUGUAAACAACAGAAUUUGAUGAAUGGGUUGUUUUGCUCUUUUUGGACAAAGUAGAUCGCAUUGCAGUUAAAUAUGUGAAUGAAAACACUAGAGAGAAUCUGUGGGCCGCUCUAGGAGUUUACAAGUUCUGAUCACAUAGUGUGUGUGUAAGUAAACCCUACGUCUCGGCCAUAUGGGAAACCACCAAAUUCACUACAUGACUUUAAAAAGAGCGAAAGAGCGGUCCACGUAGCUGGGCAUGGACAUUUUACCCAGACCUACAAAACCGACCUUGAUAGACCGAUAAAAACUAGUUCACACCCGACCUACUAACAUGAAUAUCCAAAACUAUGAUUUUAUUUAUUUUAUUUUAUAUAUUUUAGUUUAUAAUUUAGUUGAAAUGCCUUUUUAUUAGUAACUAGGCAUUUUGCCCACGAUGUAGUCUUAAACAUUUUCAUAAUUUUUGAAAAGUUUUUUGUACACUAUAUUCAUAAUUUUAGUAACAAUUUUAUUUGAUUAAUAUUUAAUUAUAUAAUUUAUGUUUUUAACUUUUUACUUAAAAUACUAUUUCAGAUAAUAAUACAAUAUAUAUAUAUAUAGAAAUUAUCUUUUUAUUAUAUUUCUAGAUUUUGGUUAAUUCAAUAUUUUAUUUUUAAUUAUAUAAUUAAGAAUUUAUUUGAUAAUAUUUAGUUAUAUAAUUCAUGUUUUUAACUUUUUACUAAAAGACUUUUUCAGAUAACAAUACAAUAUAUACAGAGAUUAUCUCUUUUUAAAAUUAUAUUUUCAGAUUUCGGAUAAUUCUUACUAUUACUAAUUUUAAUUAAAUAUCUAAUCAAAUAAAUUAAAAUUUCGUUUUUAUUUUUUAAUUUAGUUAUACAUUUUAUUCAUUAAGGGUAUAAACGAUAUUAACCACUCUAACUUUUAAUGUGAGAGCUCGAUUUCAAAAACUAAUUUAUGUUUUAACUUUUUGUUACUAAAAUAUUUUUUGAGAUAACAAUACAAUAUAUAUAUAUAUAUAGAAAUUAUAUUUUUAGAUUUUGGAUAAUUCAAUAUUCUAUUUUUAAUUAUAUAAUUAAAAAUAAUUUGAUUAAUAUUUAGUUAUAUAAUUCAUGUUUUUACUUUUUACUAAAAGACUUUUUCAGAUAGCAAUACAAUAUAUACAUAAAUUAUCUCUUUUUAAAAUUAUAUUCUCAGAUUUUGGAUAAUUCUUACUAUUAUUAAUUUUAAUCAACUAUCUAAUCAAAUAAAUUAAAAUUUUGUUUUUAUUUUUUUUUAAUUUAGUUAUACAUUUUAUUCAUUAAAAGUAUAAACGAUACUGACCACUCUAACUUUUAAUGUGAGAGCUCGAUUCCAAAAACUUACUUCGCAAAUAAUAGUAUAGAUCUUCAUUAUUAUUUUUCAACAUUUUCAAGUAAUAUGAAACUUUAUAUGUCAAAUUUAGAAUUUAAAAAUAUUUAGUUUCAAUUAUUAAUAGUUUAUUUGGCUAUUUUACAAAAUUUAAAAUAAAUAUGAAGGAUUUCAGCUAUUUAUUUAUGGAAUUCAAAUAUUUUAGUCUUUUAAAUCCUAAAUACCUGAACUUAGUUCGAAUUUGAUAUAGACCCAAAAAUUAUAAGUAUUUUACAGAUAGUUUAAUUAUAGAAUCAGACUGAUCCGGACCUGAUAGGAACCGACCGAUCCGGACCCUAUAGGAACCGACCGAACCAAACUUUUUAAGUACUUAGUUUGGUCCAAAUAUCUAAGACAACCUGACUCGACCCAAAGAUCCGAAUGUCCAAGAAUACACAUAACGAAUCCGUAGCAAGUUCUUAAACCUUUUUGUAUCUUUAUCUAAGUCCCAAUACGUUUAAAAAAGAUGGAGAAAUGUUUUGUUUUGUCAACCAAAAAGAUUGAGAAAUGUAAUCAUUCAAAGAUUGUUUUUGGAAAGAAAAAGUAAUGUGCGGUGAGCGUGGAUCGAACACGCGACCUUCAGAUCUUCAGUCUGACGCUCUCCCAACUGAGCUAUCCCCGCUUGUUGUUAUUAUCAUGGUCAUAUCCAACAACUUCUUUCUCUGUUUAUUAAUAUGGCGGUUGAGCGGAUGUACAACAAAGAGAACGUUUACACUAGCUGAAUAGCUUGUCAAGAGGAUCCUUAAAAGUGUGAUAGUUAUGAAUGUGGCAGUAGAAGAUGGAAAGAAAGCGGAUGAUAUAUGCUUCUUGAGAGCAGAGUUCUUAUCAACCAUGUUUUUGGAUGUGAUGAAGGAUUUAUUUGUGAUGGUAAGAGCAUCAUAUAAACAUUUAAGCUUCACUAUUGAGUAUCUAAAUCUUCUUUCUGAAAUUGCUUACAUGAUAUAUAUUACUGGCUUAUUGAAGAUUGGCUUCUUGUUUGUUUGACUCUUGAAAAGAAGCUCCUAUAGUCAAGGCACUUCUGGAUCUGUUGAUCAAUGUAAAUGCAUUCCCAAUACAGUCUGAGUCAGAGUUGCAAGGGAAUUCAAGACUCACACUCCCAAUACUAUAUUGCUAUCUUCUAUAUAAAUAAAAUUGUUACUUCUCUUAAGAGAGUGACACCUAAUUUUUUAUAAACACUCUUUAAUUGGCAUCUCAUCAUAAGUUUAAGAGAUUAUAUUCAUAAAUAUCGAAAAUAGUUAUUUGACCAAAAAAAAAACGAAAAUAGUUAUUGAUUUAUCGAAUCAAACUAUAUAAACUACUCAAUAUUAUCCAAAAUUUAUAAAUCCGGUAUAAGAACUAUUUUAACCUUUCUAAAACACUCAAAAGUAUAUGAAUUACUUAAACUUCAGUAAAAAGAAAGUUAUUGAAUUUAGUUAACUUCGGAUAUUUCGUUUUGAACAAGGUAAGAUCACUUGUUAACCCAUACCUAAGUACCUAACCUAAAUCUCACUGAAUCAAGACAUGAUCGACUUUUCUGUAGGAUUCAGAUUCAGAUUCAGAUUGAGCGGUUUUUCUUAUGGUCAGAUUCGGGUCAAGUGUUUUUUGCCUAGCAUUGCUUUUUCCUAUAAACCAGUGGUGACAAUGUAAAAUCCUUGUUUUGGUUCCAACUUAGUAAAUACUUACUUGCUAGACUGUUUUGAAUUGAGACAUCAUAUAUAUAUAUAUAUAUAUUAUAAACUCACAACACCAAAUAUACCAAGAGAUCUCCAAGGUUAAAUAAAUUCAAUGAUCGAAGAUGACUUUCAUAAAGACUCAAGCGUAUGGUUGUUUUUGUACUUUCCCUGGCAUCUCCUCUGCUUCCACGCACUUUACUUCCUGCGUUUAUGUGCAAAAGAAGAUAAAAGAUGAAUCUUAACCACACAAUAUGCUUUUGAGUAACAUAUGCAAUAAAUCAAUGACUAAAGUAGAGUAAGCCCAAAACCAAUCAAAGACACGUUACCAAAUGCAUUAUACAUAACAAGAAUUCAAAAGAAACAACAAACGCUAAUCUAUGAAAGGGUAAAAAGAACACUUACAGAUCCUUGGCCUUGGUAAUACUCGUCCAAAGCCCACUGGUACUUAGAUUGGUUUAACCCAAACCAUCUCACUAAAUGAUCAUCCACGCUUGAGUGUGCUGUGGCAACCAUUAAACAAACAUGAAUGUCAAAGUUACAAUUCAUUUAAUCCUCAAUUUCAUAUUUGCAUUAGCAAUAAUCUCCACCAGUCCACCCUUACUCUACUUUCUAAAUAUAUAAUCUUUAUAUCAGUUUAUUGAUCAAUCAAUCAGACCUCAAGAUCCGAAAAUGAAUGGAACUUUUUGACUAGCUCCUUACCAUUUUGAACCUUUGCGGCGGCGUUUUUGAGGAAACCCAAAACUGAGCUGUCUUGUUCAGAGGACGAAGCCACCGAUUUAAACUGCUGCGGCGGAGGAAGAACCGGCGGUUGAACGAUAGCCUUCUGAGACACGGCGGCAGGAGACUCAGGUGGUUUUGGAGUCGCCGGAGGAGUCAUGAAAACAGUGUAAGGCCCGAUCUUUCCGAUGACAGGCGGAGGUGUUGGUGGAUCUUUGUUGAUUGGCAUCUUGAGGUGAGAUUGAGAGAAGAUCGAAGCAAAUUAUGCAGACAAGAAUCUGAGAAAGAAGAAGAAUAAGCUGUACUAGCUAGUUGUGCAAGAUGCAGACAGUGAAAGUGAAGACUGUUCGUUCUAUAGUAUAAAUGUACUUUUCAGUUCUCACACGCACCAAAGAGACCAAUAAAAAAGUCUUUUUCUUUUAAAACUGAAUGCUUUUGUUUUUUUUUUUUUUUUUUUUUUUUGUUCAAGCUUUUGUUUUUCUUUUCAUACUCAGAUAUAAUCAGAUUAAACCAAACCAAACCAAACCAAAAGUUUAAGGAUCUUUUCAGUCAAUGUAUAAUCCAAUGGUGUAUAAUGUAAGUCAGUAACGUUCGCUUUUUUUAAUUAGUUUGAUUAAUUAUCUAUUAAAAAUAAAAAGAAUAUAUUUUAAUAAUUUAUAGAAAUGUGAAAUUCGUAAAAACAUAGUAUAUAUUCCUUUCAUCAUUCAUGAACAAAGUUGCUUAUUUUUAUUUCAAGUAAAAUGUAAAUUUUAAUACAAAAACUCACAAAUCUACAAAGAAAAAACAAACAAAUAUAUAAUUUGAUUUAGGACUCUAAAUUCUCACGUACUCGAACAGCUAGCCGCUGGAUGGACUGAUCAUCAAAGUAAGCAUCAAGAGUUUUAAUCUUCGAUACAAACUCCAUAGCUUCACUAUACCUCCCUCCUCUGCAAUAACCAUCCACAACCAUUUUAUACGUCAACUCAUUUGGUCUGCACUUAUUCUUCCCCAUACACUCAAUCACAUCCUCUAUCUCCCCAAACAUCCCCAUCGCUGUGUAGCCCGAAACAAACGUGUUGUAAGUGAAGAUACACGGUCUGAUCCCACGCUCUGUCAUCUCAGACAGCAUCCUAACCGCUUCUUGCAUCAGCCCUUUCCUGCAGAACCCCUUGAUCACCGUGUUGUAAGAGACAAGGUCCGGUCUCAGCUUUGAUUUCUCUAGACUCUUGAGGAUCUCUUCGGCUUUCCAACACUCUCCACGUCUUACAUACAUGUCCAUGAGGCUGUUGUAAGUCACGAGAUCUGGUGUCAGCUCGUGGUCGCGGAUGGACUGGAGGAUCUCGUGCGCUUGGUCGUACAUGUUGUUCCUUGUGAAGAUGGAGAGCAUCGAGUUGAAAAUCACCAUGUCGGGUUUGUAUCCGUGCUUUUUAAACAGCGCGAAGGCUCUCUCCAUCCCAGCAAGCGCUCUGCAUUUGAAGUUUGCGAGAAGCAGAGUUCUCAGAAGCAUCCAGCUCGGGAAGAUCUGCCCCUCGACUAUCUCCUUCUCGAUUCUCUCUAUCCCUAGAACGUUCCCUCCCUUGGCAUAACACUGAAGCAUCAACGAGUAAGACGUCUCCGUCGGUUUGAAACCUUUGCUUUUCAUGUCGGAGAUCACACCCUCUCCCGAUCUCCAGUCCCCUUGUCUAGACAAGGCGUUAAGCAACGCGUUGUAAGUCGUGACGCAAGCGUUGAAACCCGCUCUCGUCAUCUCCCCGAACAUUUUCGACGCGUCGACCUCCGAGCCACACCUCCCGUAAGCACUGAUCAGCGUGUUGAACGUGUCCCUAUCAGGCUCGAAACCGCAGCUCUUCAUCUCGCGGAACACUCGGUUCACGUACUUAUCCAUACCCUUGUUCCCACACAGAGCGAGCAUCGUGUUCCAAGUAACCCUAUUCGGGGAGCAUCCACUACUCUUCAUGUUGCAUAACAUCUUCACCAUCUCAUUAGAUCUCGAUUUCUUCCCCAGCAUACUAAGCACCACGUUGUAGGUGCACGUGUUCGGAACACAACCAGCUCUCUUCAUAGUGUAAAACAGCUUCAAAGCCUCCUCCUCCUUCCCCGACUUCCCAUACGCAUCUAUCACAGUCGUAUAAGUGAUGGCGUUCGGCAUCACACCUUUCCCCGUCAUCACCUCGAUGACACCAGCAGCUUCCUUGGUGAAACCAGCUCUAACAUAAGCCGCAACAAGCUCAUUGUACGUCACUGAAUCCGCGGGACAAUUGUUCUCCUCCAUCUCUUUCAAAAUCUUCAACGCUUCCGUGUAAACCCCCGCUUUACCAUAAACUUGCAACAGCGCGUUGUAAGUCACAGUCCCAGGCUCGUAUCCACUAGACUUAAUCUCAGCGAAAAACUCCUUCGCCUCUCUUAACAAACCCUCUCUGGCGCAAGCGGACAACACAGUGCUGCAAGUAAACUCAUCGAACUUCAUCCCUUUGCUUCUAAUCUCGUCUAGAACUAGUACAAUCUUGCCCCAAGACCUUCCCAUUCUCCCGAAAACAUCGAGGAUCACAUUGUAAGUCACCAGAGUAGGCGAAGGACCCAUCUCCUUCAUCCUCUCGAAGAGAUUGAUCGCUCUUUCGUACUUCCCUGUACGCGAAUAAGCGUAGAGAAUAGUCGUGUAAGCGCGAACAUCUAACGUGUAUUCUUGCAGAGGAAUUUUAUCGAGCAGCUUAGCUGCAACGGAGUACUGAGACUCUCUACCUAAGAUCCUAACUACAAUCUCUAUAACAUAAUGAUCUAGCUUCAAAUCUCCUGAGUUCGAAGCCGAAACUAGCCAUUCGAACAGCAAAACAGCUCUCUCCCAGUUUCCGGAAUCGUCCAGAGCCUUGACGAGACUGAACACAUCGGUCCUAAUCAGCUCGGACUUCGCGGAAUCGAAGAAGCUGCUCAAUUCAGACAAAGGGUGGGCCAAGAUGGAGUUGAGUAACGCAGUUUCCUUCUUACACAGCAGCUUCAAAGACCCGUUGAUACCCAGAACGGGGCUCGAGAAGGGUUUCGCGGAUUUGACCUCGAGAGAAGGGAAACGAGCGGCGGGGGGUGAGGUGGCAUGUCGGGGAGAGGAAGAGAGGUGGACGAGGUGGUGGAGAAGGGAAUCGAGAGGGAAGGAAGGAGAAGGAGAAGGAGGAGGUAAGUGGAGUGUGGCGGAGCUGAAUUUGAGGGAGUGGUUAGAGGACUGAGGUGGUGGAGGUCGCUUGGAUUGAAUAGGGUAUGGAGGUUUGAGAGGGGAGAGUGCGGCGUCCAUUGAGGAAGGACGUUAUCCGAUUAUUGCUUAAUGGUGGAACAAGCAAGAUAGAUAAAGCGCCUUUGGUUGUAAGUUUUUGAAUGGCCGUAAGAAACUCGUCCCCUAUCGAGAAAACAAGAUUCAUUGGCCUUUCGUUCCAACCCGUAUUUUAACCCGACCCGGUUCAUCCCCAAUUUCGGAUCCAAAACUAACGGAACGGGAAAUAUCCCAAAAUAUGGAACUUCUAAACUCCGGUCUGGUAUUAAACCGGCUGAUUAGACCAUUUAGGAUCCGGAACCGGUGAUUAACCAGUUUACCCGGCUGAACUGCCCGGGCGUUUUGUGUGGUCGGUUUGAUACAUGACGCCUUUGAUUUUUUUAACACCAACAUAAAUUAAUUCAAGCUACCAUCUACGUGGUAGAUACAGAGUAGCCAUUACAGAGAGUCUUUUAGCUAACGAGUCAGCUGCAGAGUUCAGAUUUCUUGAAAUAAAGACAAAAGAAAAGACAGAGAUAGAAAGAAACAUGAUAAGAGACACGGACGAUUCCAAAGAUCUCAACCGAAGAAAGCUUUUGAGUUACUUGCUUUGACAAACACUUGACAAUCUGAUUUUAUACAAGAUUUUUGAGAUGCCGAAGUAUUUUGCAUUGAUCAGAGCUGACCGAAUUGCUAAAAUGUUAGGAGUGAAUCCAAUCGCUCUUUUGAUACCUUUGAAUACAAGUUGCUUUGAUACCAAUUAAGGCUCCUUUUCAAAGGUAAGAGAGUUUGUGAAAAACAAACUAAUAAAACAUAACACAAGUUACUUCAAUUUUCUUCGCUGAUUUUUUCCUUUGGUUUUUCUCAUUUAAAUAAAGAAAUUAGAACCAUAAGUUCCAACGGAAGCAAAUUAAGUAAAGGGAAACAUGGACAUCCUGACUUACUCUCCCCUUGAAAAGAGGACAUGAGCAAGAGACCAUAACUAAUACAUGCAACAAUAAUAAAUGAAUAUAAUAAUCUGUCAAGCCACGUACGGUUUUAUUGCCGGUUCAAUAAUUACCAACUCAUCAUAAAGCCUCUGCUUGGAGGGAGGAGGCGACCUGCAUUUCCAGAGAUGAUCAGCGAGGUACUCCAGACUUUCCUAGCCAUUUCACAUUGGAAGAAAAUGUGGAGAGCUGGUCUCCUGCAUCUGCAGCAUUGUGUAUUAAAUAAAAAACCUCGUUUUUGGUCUCCUGCAUCUGCAGCAUUGUGUAUUAAUAAUGUACUAGAACUUGGAACUGGACAGCUUCUAAACGAGACCAUAUAGUAUUUAAUGUAAUACCAGAUCGCCUCGUCUCUUGCAACUAGAGACCAUAUAGUAUUUAAUGUAAUACCAGAUCGAAUCGUCUCUUCUGCCAAGCCAAAAACCUUAACUUUCGUCAACAGUUAAAUAAUUUACUUUCGGAUUGUUCUGUCAUGUUUUUUUUUUUUGAAUUUUCAAGGCUGGGAAAAAAUGGAAAUUACCGAAACAGGGACUAGAUGGUUAUUUGCACGUGAGCUAGUGAAAAAUGAAAAAUGGAAACUAAGCAAUGGAUAUAUUUGAUGACGAUCGUAGUAGGAUUUGAUUGCAACUAGAGACCAUAUAGUAUUAAGUGUAAACACAACACAACUUUGCGUAGUUUCAAGAAAGCAAAGGUCUCAGACACGCCGGCGUCAAGAAGUCUCUGGUUGAAACAGAUGUCAAACCAAGCCAGAGCCGUCUCUCGAUCCCUUUCCACAAAACUGAUCCGAAACGACUUCUUGACGCCUGCUGAGUCGAGAAUCAUCGAGGAAGACAUCAGCAACAGAGAAAAUAUGGGGUUUGGGAGCGGUUCUUGUUGAUAAAGGCAUUAAAAAGUGGGGUGUGUUUUUCAAGAGAUGGGAGAUGCACGGUUCUUGGAACCAGGGGCGGAGGCAGUGAAGGAGGUGUGGGGUCAGCUGACCCCACUACUUUUUUAAAAAAUAUUUUUUUUAUUUAAGAAAAUUUGUAUUGACCCCAUUAAAAAUGAAAAUUUGACCCCAAUAAAAAUAUAAUUUCACAAAUAUAAUCACAAAACAUUAAAGAUUGAAGAUAACUUAAAAUUAUAUAAAUAAUAUGUUUAUUUUAUUUGUUAAACAUUUGAUUUAUAUUAAUUUUAGCUUAAAUUUCAAUAAACACGGUUUUAUAUUAAGUGUUAGUUACAUAUUUCAAUAAAGUCCAAAUUGUAUUAGGUCCAAUAACUAUUAUUAAAAAAAAGUUUGAAAUUAAUGAGUGAAUUUGAAAAAAAAGAUUUGUACUUCUUUUCUGGACAACGCAAAAAAGAAGAACUCUCAUGUUCCCCAAGCAAUUUUUGGAUAUUUUUUUCUGACCGAAUAAUUUUUAAAUAAGUUUUUUUUUUGUUAUACACUCUCCACUUUAUUUUACCAAACUAAAAAUGAUUAUGAUUUAAAUUUAUCAGUUAACUAAUGGAUCAAUUUUUGAAUCGGCAAAAAAAUAUCAGCCAAUUAAAAUAGUCAAAAAAUAAUAUUAAUACAAUAUUGCAUCAGUAAUGAGUUUCUAAAAUUUUUUAUGAUUUGUUUUUUCGAAAAUAUUUUAAAUUGUAGUAAAGAAUUAUGAUAAACAAGUUUUAAAAUAUGAAUGAUCAUAAAGUAUAUUUAUAAUUUUUCUGUGGUUAUAAAUUAUGUAUUUGGAAAAAAAAAAUUGACUCCGGUACAAAAACUUUCUGGCUCCGCCACUGCUUGGAACUACGCUUCGGUUUGUGGUUGGAAAGAUGGAGACAACAUUAGUCUUUGGUCUUUCAGGUGCCGAGGAGUUCUCUCUUUUGCCCUUGUUCCUCUGAGAUAACUUCUUUUACUUGAGGUUUGUGUCCAGUGCCUUCUCAGAAUUGUAAUUAUCAAGAUUAGGGUUUUGGUACAGUACGUUUGAUCUUACAACACCUUGUUGGGUUUAUCUCAAGUAAUUUUUACUAUGAAUUGAUGAAUGUUCUGAAAUGAAUACGUGUUUCCUUAAAAGUUUCAGUUUAUGGAUAGUUUCAUUUAACUCAGUUUAAUUAAACAGUCUUCUGCCCUUAAAGUCUUGCUUCUGCAGUUCUACCAAUUAUUUCCCUCUUUGCUGCAUUCACUCCUUUAAAGAAUGUUUUGGUUGGUUUUCUCAAAUUUGAUGCAAACUUUUGUUUCACUUCACACUUGUUCCUGAUAUAGGCUCCUUCUUGAUUGCGUCAUUUUUUCUUCUUCUUGUUGCUGAUUGUUGUGCAAACUUUUGCUCCUCUUCACGUUUGAGUUCUGGAAUUGUGCUCUCCAUCUUUUUUUUCUGAACUAAUUUGAUGCAUUAAAAUAAAGGUAACUGAUAUUGCAUUUAGGCUAUAUAGUUUGUUACAAGUUUGAUGGAAACCAUAGAGUAUUACAAGUUACAACAUUCGCAAUCCAAGAAAAGCUCAUUAAGCUAGAUAAUGAAAUAAAGCCAAGACACGUCUUACGAUUUGCGGUUACCUCGACCUCUCGAGAUAUGCUUUCCUCUUCCCUUGACAAGUGUCCAUCCCAUUUCCUGUACUUUUUGAGUUGGUUUAAUCGAUCUCCCUCCCCUAGUCGUGUUCAGGUGAGUUGUGGACUCACAGUGUGAGCCCCACACUCUUGUGAACGGUCGAAUAGAGGAAGAUGUGGAUCAAUUAAAGCGUCAUCUUCCGGGUUAUUCACCACGGUGAUGACCAUUGUGGAUGGAGUUUCCUCCAUAAUCUUUUCGCUAACUGGAGUAGAGGAAUUCUCUACUAAUGGUGAAAAAGUUUGCUUAGACUGUAAAAGAGGCACCUCUUUAACUAGUGAAAGAUCUUCUUCUUGAAGAGUGGCUGCUUCUCUUGUAGUUGACCUCAUUUCAUCUUGAGCAUCAUUCAUUUUUUCUAGAGCGUUACUCAUUUCCACAUGCGUAGUAAGGAUAGAACCAAUUGUAGCAGAGUUGUCUUGAAAAAAUGUCGGUUUAGGAGAUGAAUCAUUAGACCCGAAUUGAUCUAUACUAACCAUAGGUACAUUUGAACCAUCUUCGUGAACUUCUAUUGGCUCGCUUGUAGCUUUUGAAAAAUUGGCUGGUAGAAGGCUCUCUCCUAUUGAUCUUGGAGGAGGUAAUUUAGCAUUCACUGACUUCUUUCUCCCAGGUAACAUGGAAGUACUCUAUGAACCCAUAAGCAGUGUCGGGGGACAAACGGUGUGACCGUCCAAAUCCGUGUCCCACCGUUUCUUAAUAGUUAAUGGGCUUAAUAUUUUUAUAUAUAUUUACAUAUUUUUAGAUAUAAAAUUUUAAAUAUUCAUUAAAUUUGGUUGAAAAGGGCACCAAAAAUAUUUUAAAUUACACAAUUUAUUUUCAUCGUAAAUUUUAUAAAGAUAUUGAUGAUAAAAAAAUUUAAAUAUAAUUAAAUUUUAAAUAAACAGAAAUGUUAAAAGCUUUAAAACGUUGUGUUGUCCAUAAGCUAAAUAAAUGUUGAGCCGGCUCUGCCCAUAAGCCAAAAAAGAUACCACAGUACUUGGUAUGAUUGCCUUUACAAGACUUAGAGCUGCAUGUAUUAAUCCCUAGCUCAUGUCAAAGAAACUGAAAGAAAAAACACAGAAGAAAAAAAAUGAAGAAAUUAUUCAGAAACUGGAUCAUAUAUUUCACCAGGAACAUCCUUCUUCUUUCUCAUUGCACUGAGUGGAAACAGAGAAAUCGAGCCAAGGACAGUGAGAAGAAGUUACACCACGCUCGGAGUAUUAUACGUUUUUUUUUUUGGUAAAACGGAGUAUUAUACGUUGGAGAUUGGUUGAGCCUGAAAAUGAACAAGGCUGUAACAGAAGUGGUUCUUUCCCAAGUAAAUGUUUUUUCUUCUACGGGUCAGUGUAAUAACCAAGAUCUAUUAAUAUUUACAAUUACACCCAAUUAGGAAUACACAGCAGGAUAAAACCCAGAAAGCUUCAUAUGACCAACCUGAAGUUUCAAACUAAAUUCUCAAAAACACAAAGUUUCAAACUAAAUUCUCAAAAACACAAAGUUCCAACCAAUUCAAAUUUAACAUAAUUUUAAUUUCUGUCCAAAUUAUUUAAUUAGUUUCAAAUAUUAAAUUAAUCAGAAGAUAUAAUUUAGCUUUUUUUUUAUUACAAAGCAAUUUAGAUAAUGGUUUGGUACUUCAAAAUAUUUUAUUUAUUCUAUCACCAAACCACACAUGUAAGAAAUAUUAUCAUCAUAAUAACCAAAUAAAUUUUCAUUAGUACUUUAAAAUAACAUAAAAGAUAAAUCAACAAAAUUAAACCAUAAUUACCAAUUAUCAUGAAGCCUAUGAAAUCAAACCCCUCUUCAUUGAAUAAUAGUAUAGAUGAUUGAAUAUUGGGAUUUUUGCAAAAUUGACCUACAACUUAAAGUCAAACACAAAACUAACCUCCUUUUUUUUUGAAAAUUGGUUUUGCCCUAUUCACCCCACAAGUUCAUAUAAUUUACGAAAAUGCCAUCAAUUUUUUUUUUUUUUUCGAAAAUGACAUUUUUACUCUCUCACCCUCAUCAUCUUCAAGUAAUUACAAGAUUGCCAUUGUCAUCAAUACCACAACCACCAUGAACAACCAAUUUGAAGCUCUUAAUGCUCCCAAAAUCGAUUUACCCUUCUUCUUUUUCCAUUCUUGUGAACUAAACACAACAUAUCUCUCACUUUCUCUCCACAAUGAGCUAAAAAAACCCAAGAUUUUGAUUCUAAAAUUUUUAUGGUUCAUAGAGUCAUAAAAGCUAACGAUUAUGGGUGGGUGACUUCCGUUUGUGAUUCUGUGUACUUGGAGAAGCCUUAUGUAUGCUAAGGAACUUAUCUCACCAAUUUAAGGUAUGACAUCGAGUUUUUUUCCAGAUCUGUUCGUCAGACGACUUACUUGGGAAGUCGUCUGGCUGUAGACGACUUACUUUUCAGUCGUCUGGCUGUAGACGACUUACCUGGAAGUCGUCUGGUCAACGCAAAGGUUAUUUUUGCAAUUGACUUUGAAAUCUGUAACCUGAGACGACUGAAAGUUAAGUCGUCUACUAUUGUUUGGUUUCAAAAAAAAAUUCCAAAGAACCGAGACGACUUACAUUUCAGUCGUCAUAGGUUAGUUUUGUAUUUGACUGGAUAAUUUCAGAAGUUUGACUUCCCCAGACGACUUACAUUUCAGUCGUCUGGCGAAAAUUAAAAUAAUAAUAUUUUUUUUAAAGUAAACGACUUACAAUUAAGUAGUCAUAGGUUAGUUUUGUAUUUGACUGGAUAAUUUCAGAAUUUUGACUUCCCCAGACGACUUACAUUUCAGUCGUCUGGCGAAAAUUAAAAUAAUAAUAUUUUUUUUAAAGUAAACGACUUACAAUUAAGUAGUCAUAGGUUAGUUUUGCAAUUGCAAAAAAAAACUUCAAGAUUUAAUUAUACACAGACGACUUAUAAUUCAGUCGUCCACCAGACGACUUAAUUGUAAGUCGUCCAGGAUUUUUUCCGAGAUUCUGGUCAAACCUCGUAAAUCCUGGACGACUUACAUUUCAGUCGUCUCGUGGACGACUGAAUUAUAAGUCGUCUGUAUAUAAUUAAAUCUUGAAGUUUUUUUUUUCAAUUGCAAAACUAAUCUAUGACGAUUUAACUGUAAGUCGUCUACUUUUAAAAAAAUAUUAUUAUUUUAAUUUUCACUAGACGACUGAAAUGUAAGUUGUCUAAAAAGUCAAACUUCUGAAAUAAUCCAGUCAAAUGCAAAACUAACCUCUGACGACUGAAAUGUAAGUCGUCUAGCUUUUUUGGAGUUUUUUUUUUAACCAAACAAUAGUAGACGACUUAACUUUCAGUCGUCCGAAAUAACAGAUUUCAAAGUCAAUUGCAAAAAUAACCUCUGCGUUGACCAGACGACAUAUAGUUUAGUCGUCUAGACAACUUAGAUUGAAGUCGUCCGCGUCUUCUCCACUAGUUUUUAAGUCUUCUACGUUAGUUUUGGAAUAACUUGUAUUUUUAAGAGUGAUAAGUAACUUCAAGAUAUGUAAAACUCAUAUUUACAAAAUAUGUUCUCUCCCUUAGUUUUACUAAAUUUGACUAAGUUUUUCAAUGCAAACUUAUAAAAAAUAUGAUAUGCUUUGACUAGUUACUAUUGUUUGUUUCCAUCUCUUACCAACAUUCUUGUUUAUUAAGAUGAGAAAAAGGCCAUUGGAGUUUUUUAGUGUAUAUGAGAGAUCCAAAGAUAAGAAAAAGGCUACUGAAGUCUAUUAUUUCAUUGAUUUGUAAAUGUGUAAACACAUUGUUAGCACAUUUAAUACAUCUUGGAAAACAUUAUUACUGAUUUUACAAAAAAAUCACAACUAAAAGAGUAUACAUGCAAUUCAUAAAACAGACCACAAACAAAACUAUUAUAGAUCAUUCAUCUACAAAGACAAGCUUGGAUUCCACUUGAGUAGACAAGACCAGACAACUUUUAAGAAGUCCAGACGACUUCUAAGAAGUCCAGACGACUUCCAGGAAGUUCAGACGACUUUGCCAGAAGACUUUUAGGAAGUUCAAACGACUUCCAGACGACUUUACAGGAAGUCCAGACGACUUUUAGGAAGUCCAGACGACUUCCAGACGACUUCCAGACGACUUCCAGACGACUAACAAGUAAGUCAUCCCAGAAGUCUUCCAGAUCUGAAAAACCUGCAUAUUAAAUCCAGAUCUGAAAAACCUGCAUAUUCAAAAACGUUCAAAUGGCUUAAAAACAGAAAAAAUGAGUGGAAGAUUAGAUAAAUCUACCUUUACAGAACACACAAAAAUACAUAUCUAAAAAUAAUAGAUCUACCUUUAAAUUAGUGGAAGAUGAGUACCAAAUAAUUAAAAACCUGCAAAAAAAAAAAAUAGAUUAGUAACAAAGACAUGAGACAAAAUUGAAAAAUUCAUAUAAAGUUUGGUGUUUUCAAGUCAAAGAGAUUAGAGUGGGUUUAGAGAGUUUUAGUUUGGGAAAAAAGUAAGAACUUUAUACAACAAGAAGUUACCAAAUGAAGAAAAAUCAGACAUAAGAACUUACCAAAACGCUCAGAAAAAUCCAGACGACUUCCUAGAAGUCCAGACGACUUCCUGGAAGUCCAGACGACUUCCUGGAAGUCCAGACGACUUCCUGGAAGUCCAGACGACUUUGUCAGAAGACUUCCAAGAAGUCCAGACGACUUCCAGACGACUUCCAAACGACUAACAAGUAAGUCGUCCCAGAAGUCUUCCAGAUCUGAAAAACCUGCACAUCAAAUCCAGAUCUGAAAAACCUGCAUAUUCAAAAACGUUCAAAUGACUUAAAAAUAGAGAAAAUGAGUGGAAGAUUAGAUAAAUCUACAUUUAUAGAACACACAAAAAUACAUAUCUAAAAUUAAUAGAUCUACCUCUAAAUUAGUGGAAGAUGAGUACCAUUUGAUUAAAAACCUGCAAAAGAGAUAGAUUAGUAAGAAAUACAUGAGACAAAACUGAAAAAUUCAUAUAAAGUUUGGUGUUUUCAAGUCAAAGAGAUUAGAGAGAGGUUGGAGAGUUUUAGAAUGAUGAACAUUACAUUUUUGUUGCAGCCAUUUGAGAGGAGGAGAGAGAAUGUGUAAAUUUUUCUUUAUAUAGGGAGACAAAAAAUCCAAUUAGAUUAAAUAUUUUUGACUCAGACGACUUCCUGGACGACUUACAUUUCAGUCGUCUGGUGAAGAAAUUAAAACAGACGACUUAUAUGUAAGUCGUCCAGAAGAGUUUAAUAUUUUUAGCGGGAAAUUAAAUAUUUUUAGCGGGAAACUAAAAUAGAAGACUUUCCAGACAACUUACAAGUAAGUCGUCUGGACGACUGAAUUAUACGUCGUCAGGGUAAAUUAUUCAACAGACGACUGAAAUAUAAGUCGUCCACACCCUAAACAUAACCCAUAAACUUAAUUAUCUAAUUAAACACUUCAUAAAACCAAAUCAAACUUGAAAAGUGUUUACUAUACACAUAAAUAAACACAUAUAGGUGAAAACUAUAUUUUGAAAAAAACAUUUUAGUUUUCCAAAAUCUAACCCUAACAAUACAUACAAUACUACAACAUAUGUUUGCCAAACUCCUAAACCAAAGUAUUUCAUGAUUCACUACUUCCACUCAUCUAUCUUCAAAACAAAUCAAUUUUAUCAUAUCUUAAUUUAUAUCAGUUAAAACUGUUUAUAAUUACUUGAUUUUUAUUUUUUACGCAUCAAAAUAUUUUUUUACAAGAUUUAUAAAUUGUUUUUAAAAUAAACUGGUACCAGACGACUUACACUUCAGUCGUCCAGACGACUUCCAACAUCUCAGACGACUCAAGCGAUUUACUGGGGCUAUAUUCGUAAAAAUGGCUUCUGUUUUUUUGUUUGGUCACAAGGGGCUGAGCUGUAAUUUCACUAGGCUUUUAGGUUAGUUUUGCAUUUGAUUCAAGUUUGGGUGUAUGUUUAGAAUUAAAAUCAAGUUGUGGGUUAGUUUUGGCAAAAAUCCCUUGAAUAUUUUUCUUUGUUUCGAUGAUUCCUACGAACAUUAGUUUAAUUGCAUUUUCUAUGAAAUUUCCUCUUUAUCGGUGUUGAUCGUGAUACCUAUUAACAAAAUAUAAAAUAAUUAAAACAUACUUCUAUUUGACUAAAACUUUAUCAACUAAAAGUCAUAAAUUAUAGGAAAAUUACCAUAAAUACCACAAUUAUAUUACCACUUUUCAGGUUUACGUAAACUAUUUUUACGUUCACUUUUAAUAAAGAGUUAAAAGAUAUUUAUACCCCUAGGGUUAACUAAUCUAGACUUAUGGUUUAGAGUUGAAGUGUGGGGUAGGGUUUUUGGAAUGUUAAAUUUGAGAUUCUAAUAAAUAUAUAAACAAAUACUUAAAUCUUUUUUUUUUAAAUUAAAAAAAUUAAUAAAAAGGUUCAAAUUUGAAAAAGUAUAAUUCAAAAACAUAAAAAAAUAAUUUUUUUUAUAUUUUUUAUAUUUUUAAAAUUUUUAUAUUUUUAAAAUAUUUAUAUUUUAUUAUUUAAAUAAUUAUUAUUAUAUAUAUAGAGAACACGAGUAUAAAAUUCUUUUGCCAAUUAAUAAAAAUGUAUUUUUGUAAAUAUCUAUUUAGUGGUGGUAAAGAUGAAUAAUGAUACCAUAAAAGUGGUAAAUAUGAAAUUUCUCCUAAAUUAUAUAUGUCUAGCAAAAACUGAUUUUUUUUUUAAUUUUAACGGUCCGAAAUUGUAUUCUUUGGACUUAUAUCUUUUGAUUGGUAAGACGAUUUUGUUAUUUAGAAGACACCAAGAUACUGAAGAGAAGUUUCAAUCACCCAGAUCUCAUUCAUAUACCCCGGACACUUAAUACAAGGACAGAUUGUCUUGCACAGAGUGCUAGGCAGCAAUAGUUGUUUGUUGUUCAUAUAUGGAUGUCGAGUUACCAGUAUGGUUUGUAGAGUCUUAGUUGAGUUUGUGUAUGCUGUUGACAAAAAAAAAACGAUUUCCUGACAUAAAAGAUAAGAAAGUUUCCUUUUAACAAUAAUAUAAAUAAAACAUUAAACAAUUUACUAUUACUAAAGUAAAUAUAAGAUGAACAUAGCUAUAAAAAUAUUGCUAAAAAUUAUUAAUAUUUGUUAAUAAUAAUUAUCCGGAAUAUAAUUUAAAACAUUUAUUAAAUAAUCACUCAUUUUUUUUAAAAACUAACAAUUCAAAAUUUUAUUUAUUAAAAUUCAUGAAUCAACCUAAAAUCUUGGAAUAUGACAAAUAAGCUUCUAAAAAUUAAUAAAAUAUGAAAAAUAAUCAAAAUAAAUAAAAAUUAUUGAGAACAUGGCAAGUAAGCAUUCUCACUUAUAAAAAUAAUUUCAAAUAUUAAAUUAAUCAGAAGAUAUAAUUUACCUUUUCUUAUUACAACGCAACUUAGAUAAUGGUUUCGUAGUUGCAAAAUCUUUUAUUUAUUCUAUCACCAAACCACACAUGUAAAAAGUAUCAUCAUAAUAAUAACCUAAUAAAGUUUUAUUUAUACUUUCAAAUAACAUAAAAGAUAAAUCUACAAAUUAAACUACAAUUACCAAUUAUCAGUGAAGCCUAUGAAAUCAAACUUCUCUUCAUCAACUAAAAGUAUAGAUGAUUGAACAUUUUUCCUUGUUUCGGUGAUUCCUAACAUAACAUUAGUUUAAUUGCAUUUUAUACGAGUUUUCUCUUCAUCAAAGUUCAUAGUGACUACCUAUUAACAAAAUAUACAAUAAUUAAAAACAUAUUUCUAUUUAACUAAAAAAAUAUAAACCAAAAGUAAUAAAUUAUAUAUGUCUUAUAAAAACUGGAUUUUGUUUUUUUAAUUUACAAUGACAAGAUGAUUCACUCACAUAAAAAAAAGCUUCUUUUUCAAAAUAUUAAAUAAAAACAUUAAACGAUUUAAUAUUACUAAAGUAAACAUAAGAUAAACAUAACUAUAAAAUUAUUGCUCAAAUUUGAUAAUACUCGUUAAUAAUAAUUAUCCUGAAUAUAAUUAAAAUAUUUAUUAAAUAAUCACUAAAAUUGUAUAAAAACUAACAAUUCAAAAUUUUAUUUAUAAAAAUUAAUGACAACCUGAAAUCAUGGAAUAUGACGAAUAAGUUUCUAAAAAUAACAAAACAUGACAAAUAAUCAAAAUAACUUAAAAUCACUGAGAACAUGGCUUAUAAGAAAUUUUAAAUAUUUAAAUAAUUUUAAAUAUUAAAUUAAUUUUAAAAUAUAAUUUUUUUUAUUACAACGCAACUUAAAUAACGGUUUGGUAUUUGCAAAAUCUUUUAUUUAUUCUAUCACCAAACCACACAUGUAAAGAGUAUCAUCAUCAUAAUAACCUAUUAAAGUUUUAUUAAUAAUUUAAAAUAACGUAUAAGAUAAAUCUACAAAUUAAACCACAAUUACCAAUUAUCAGUGAAGCAUGUAAAAUCAAACCUCUCUUCAACAAAUAAUAGUAUAGAUGAUUGAACAAUUUUCCUUGUUUUGGUAAUUCCUACAAACAUUAGUUUAAUUGCAUUUUAUAUGAGUUUUCUCUUCAUCAAAGUUCAUAGUGACUACCUAUUAACAAAAUAUACAAUAAUUAAAAACAUACUUCUAUUUAACUAAAAAAAUAUAAACCAAAAGUAAUAUAUUAUAUAUGUCUUAUAAAAACUGGAUUUUGUUUUUUUAAUUUACAACGACAAGAUGAUUCACUCACAUAAAAAAAAAGCUUCUUUUUCAAAAUAUUAAAUAAAAACAUUAAAGAUUUAAUAUUACUAAAGUAAACAUAAGAUAAACAUAACUAUAAAAUUAUUGCUCAAAUUUGAUAAUACUCGUUAAUAAUAAUUAUCCUGAAUAUAAUUAAAAUAUUUAUUAAAUAAUCACUAAAAUUGUAUAAAAACUAACAAUUCAAAAUUUUAUUUAUAAAAAUUAAUGACAACCUAAAAUCAUGGAAUAUGACGAAUAAGUUUCUAAAACUAACAAAACAUGACAAAUAAUCAAAAUAACUUAAAAUCACUGAGAACAUGGCUUAUAAGAAAUUUUAAUUAUUUAAAUAAUUUUAAAUAUUAAAUUAAUUGGAAGAUAUAAUUUUUUUUUAUUACAACGCAACUUAAAUAACGGUUUGGUAUUUGCAAAAUCUUUUAUUUAUUCUAUCACCAAACCACACAUGUAAAGAGUAUCAUCAUCAUAAUAACCUAUUAAAGUUUUAUUAAUAAUUUAAAAUAACGUAAAAGAUAAAUCUACAAAUUAAACCACAAUUACCAAUUAUCAGUGAAGCAUGUGAAAUCAAAUCUCUCUUCAUCAAAUAAUAGUAUAGAUGAUUGAACAAUUUUCCUUGUUUUGGUAAUUCCUACAAACAUUAGUUUAAUUGUAUUUUAUAUGAAUUUUCUCUUCUUCAAAGUUCAUAGUGACUACCUAUUAACAAAAUAUACAAGAAUUAACAAGAUGAUUCACUCACAUAAAAAAAAAGCUUCUUUUUCAAAAUAUUAAAUAAAAACAUUAAAGAUUUAAUAUUACUAAAGUAAACAUAAGAUGAAUUAAAAACAUAUUUCUAUUUAAAUAAAAAUUUAAAAACUAAAAAUAAUAAAUUAAAUAUGUCUAGUGAAACUGAUUUUUUUUUAAUUUACAAGGACAAGAGAUUGUAUUCUUUGGACUCAUAGUUUUUGAUUGAAGAUGAUUCCCUGAAAUAAAGAGAAGAAAGCUUCCUUAAAAAUAAUAAUAAAUAAAAAAAUUAAACGAUUUAGCAUUACUAAAGUAAAUAUAAGAUAAACAUAACUAUAAAAAUUAUUGCUAAAAUUUGAUAAUACUCGUUAAUAAUAAUUCUCCUGAAUAUGAUAAAAAUAUUUACUAAAUAAUAACUAAAAUUGUUUAGAAACUAACAGUUCAAAAAUAUACUAUUAAAGCAGAAUACACUUCGGGAUAUUUCCACUAAUUGCCUCUACCAUUCUAUCUAAAGUCUAAACUGUGUCUUUCAUUAAGGGUAAUUUGGAUAUUUGCAAACAUUUAAUUACGUACAAUAUUUUCUUAUUUUCUUUCUAUUUAUUUUCUUAUUAAUACUUUUAAAAAUAAAAAAAUCUUACUGUAAAUCGUGGUAAGCAAAAUUUUAGGGGCCUAACAAGAUUUAGAAUAUCUAUAUUCUUGAGUUUAUAGGAAAUCAUUUAUACAAAAAGUCCCUAUAUCUAUUUACACAUGAAAUAUAUUUAAGAUCAUUAUAUCUACAAAGUGUAAACGUCCCACAUUGAAACUUUGUGAAAUUCAUCAGCAAAAAUGAUUACUAUAAUUUCAUGCAUUCAAUAUUUAAAUAUUUAUAAUAAAAUCUUUGAACCAAAAUUUGGAUGCAAUCCAAUCACAAGAUUUUCUCUUUUUCUCUACUAACAAGAUAUUCCAAAAAUAGUAUUACCUUAUAAGCAUAAGAUUUUUCAGAGAAUUUAUUUAAGAAUAUUCUAUUUCAAAGCUUAUCGUGAAAGCUAGGUCAUUUAGAAAUAUUUACCGAUCUACUAUAUAUAUGAUAUUCACAGCAGAAAAACGAAGUCAUUGAAUUUUCUGAUGCUAAAUUUUUGAUGCUUUCAACUUAGUAUUUUUUUUUUAGAAUGUAAAGAUAUAUAUAUAUAUAUAUAUAUAUACAUAUAUUUUUGGUUUGCUGAUUCUGUUUUUUUUUAUGUGCUGAUGAACUAUCAUAAUGAUUCUUCAUUUCAAUCCACAUAUGAUUUGAUUAUUUUUAUUUUCUUUUGUACUUCUUAUUUUCUUCAAUCAUGUUAUUUAACAUGUCAUCUUUUGUAAUGUACACUACGAUAAAUAUCCGCGUUUUGAAAAAAUAUCCGCGUUUUGAAAAUGUGGAUCAAAAUCAAGUUAUUUAUUAAAACUAAUGAUUUAAUCUAAAAUUAUGGAAUAUGACAAAUAAGAUUCUAAAAUUAAUUAAACAUUACAAAUAAGCAAAAUAACCUAAAAACAUGGAAAAAAUGACAAGUAAGAAAAGUCACUAAUAUUAAUAUAGAUUUCAGUUGAGAGUGCGCAUAUCAUAUAUGUCCACUGAUAAUAACAUUAUUAAUCAUGCAAAAUUUUAUUUUAUGAUAUAACUCAAUAUUAAAUUGUGUGAUUACGUUGACGUAACCGGCUAUUAGAGAAAUGAACUCAAAUAUACCCGAAAUAAGUUUUUGUUUCCAAACUAGUUUUAAAAGGUCAAAAUGUUCAAAUAAGUUUUAUUAAAGAGAUAAAUGAGAAUUAUAAAUCUUCUUGUAAGUUUUAUUAAAGGUCAAAAUUAUCAAAAUAAAUUUUAUCAAAUUUAGAAAGAUAUCAUUCAUAUUUAGGAAGAACUUCUUAAAUAUACAUACAAUUUACAUUCAAGAUUACACAUUUAUAAACCAUUCCUCAAUUCAGGAAAUUAUUUUUACAAAUUUAGAAAGAUAUCCUACAUGCUAAGGAAGGUUUUCCUAGGAUUGUUUUAAAAGGAGUUAUUGGAAAUAUAUAUUUUAGAAAAAGAAAUUUUGAAAAAGAUAUUUUGACUUUGUUAUUUUUUUUUAAUAAUUUUAUAUUAUGAUUAUCUAAAAUUGUAAACGAUGAUAUAAUUGUCAUUACCCAUUUAAUGAAACAUAUUUUGAUCACUUUAAUUUUGGAGCUAUCUAAAAUACACUAAAGUGGAAAAAAAUAUUUAGGAGAUUUUCUCCAACUAUUAUUAUUUAGUGAUUUUAUGAAGACCCAUAAGUAAUCAAUUUUACAGCUAAUUAUUAAUAUAUGCGUCAUUUAAAAACCAUCAUGAUAAUAAUUUUGUUUCUCUUCAUAUUUUAAACCAAUCAUUAAAUUAUAUAUACGGGGGUUUUAAUAAAAAUAUAUAUAAUCAUCAAAUUUUGGAAACAUUGAAGUAUUAUAAAUAAUUAAAAAAAUUCUUUAUACACUAUAUUCAUUGAUUAUACAAAAUUAUUUAUUUACUUGAUUAGUAUUUAAUUAUUCAUCUGUUUUUCUUAAUUUUUAAAUUUUGAUAAUUGAAAAAUAUUCUUUUUAAAUAAUAACACAAUAUAUAUUAGUUUUUAAUGUGUUUUUAGUCUUAAAUUGUUUUUUUUAUAAUUUUAAUUUAUAAUUAGUUAUAUAAUCUAAAUAAUAAAUCUAGUUAUUCAUUAAGGUAUCAAUGAUAUUAAACUUUUCCAUUGGAUUCUGAAAUCAAAGCAAGUGAUUAAUUUUAAAAUUCUAUAAUCUUAACCACAAAGAAAUACACAACAAUAUCUGAUUCUAAUUAUACAGCCAAAACACGUGUCCAGGUGAGAAAGGAUGCCAUAAAAAAUCAAGAACCAAUUGAUGAACACCAAAUAAUAAAGAGAAGAAACAAAUAAAACAAAACAAAUUUCGUUUGAGUGCCAAAAAAAGAAUGAAAUAAUACAUUAACAAAAUGGGUAAAAUAGAGAAUCUAGCACGGGGUCCACAUGAGCUAAAACGGUGGAGAAGUCCGUCGUUUGAAUGUCGAAUAAAAAGGAGGAGACGUUUUUCCCUCUGCAAUAGAACCUAUCUCUCUCGGGUGUCAGUGUUAUCAAGUGUUGAAACGACAGAGAGGGACGCCGUUUCGUGGAGAACGGAAAGAGAUGUCAGGUCUCGAGAAUAUCAAGAACGAGAAUGUUGAUCUGGUAUUUUAUUCAUUCCUAUCUUCUGGCUUAAUCAAUUGUUAUCAUGCACACAAACUGUUGGAUGAUUUCAUUAAACGUGAGUAUAGAUCUGUUUUGUUAUCGUUUUGCAUGAUUGUUCUUACUGUUAAAAUGUUUCUUUCACGAUUAAUUCCUAAUGAAAAUUAGCCCUUGCCUCCAAAUGUUAAAAAACUAAUAUACAUAGACGGUAUAGCCCCAAAUAUUUAUGGUUCCUUAAAAAAUAUUGGAUGGUAUUCUUGAAACAGUUCCUUAAAUCCCCACCCCUUAAAUCUCAGAUUUGUCUACCUAUUUAUUUCAAAGAUAAAACAUGAACUUCAUAACAACUUUUGCACUUGAAACAGAGGUGGAGCUAAGCUACGUCACAAUAAAUUGCUUUCAUAUAGUAUUAAUUAAAAUUUAUUUUGCUUCUGAGAGAGACUUUUUUUUUCUGAAAAUAUUUUUGUAAAAUAAGUUUCUUACUGUUAAAUCAGCUCCUAAUAUUAGGGAUGUCAUCUGCAAUAUUUAAGUCCACUCGGUCCGGUCCAAAAAUAUUUUGAGCCUACAUUUUAAAGACAUGUCGGUUCUAAUAAAAUUAAACGGCUUUUAAAGAUGGGUUUCCUACAUAAUUUAUUAUUAUGUUGUAUCUAUCAUUUUAACUAUUUUAAAAUAUUUAAGUUUUUAUAAAAAAAACAUAUUCACUUUUUCAUGUUCAAAAAUGUUUUAUAACAAAAAUGUUUUAUACGCAGUAAACCAUAAUUUAAGUAAACUAUAUUUAAAAAGAUUUAUAUAAUCAGAUGCAAAUUAAAAUUAAAUAUAUAAGAAAACAAAAUUUAUGUCAAAAGGUCGUCAAAUGUUCCAUAUUUUGUAUUUUUAUAAUAUUUUUUACAUAAACAAGAAGCAGAUUUAUCGGAAUUAGCAUGUGUCUCUUGUAUUGAGUGAACGUUUAAGUAUUUUCACAACAUCCAUAUUUGCUUUGCUAGAGUUUGUAUCAAGAAAUAUGCCAAUAACAAAACAUCUUCGGUCACAUAAAUGAUCCUAGUACACUAAAAUGUAAAGAUUAGAGUUUUUUUUGUGCUGGUCCUAUCCCAAAUAGAUUAAACCCAAAACAUCAAUGAAUAAUCCAAAAAACUCAUUUUUUGGGUGUUUAUAAUUAAACCCAAACUCGAAACUUUAUAGGACAUAACAGGUUUGUGUUUAAACUCUAAUUAACAUGUCUACCUUUUUUUUUUCUCAAUUGAAAUUUUCAUUAAAGGGCAAAAAGCCCAUAACACAUAUUAGAAAAAACCCAAGGAAACGGGCCCAAAGAAAACAAAUCACAAGCAUGGUCCAAGGCCCAUCUGCGAUACCCAAUGAUCCCGAAGGAGCUCCGCCGCCGCGCGGACAAACGCUGCGGCUCCGACGACGCCUCCCUUCGAAACGCCACCAGUUACACCUAAUAUUCUUUUUUUUUGAAAUUGAAUUUCAUUCAUUGAAAAGAUACAAGGUAGAAUACAUAAGUACACGGAAAAAUCCCCGGAAACAUAACCUAAUAUUCUAUCGUCCAUCCAUAAAAAUACAUCCCAAAAUACAAAUAAUUUUUAAUUACACUAGAAACUCUAUAAACUAAUACUCGAUAAACUAAUAACACAGUAAAUUAAUAAACUUAUUCAGCGCCGAUUUGGACUAGUUUAAAAUAUGACACAAAUUAAUAAAAUAAUAAGAUAAUAAUUUUUAGAAAAUCCUAGAUAAAGAUAUAGUCCCAUUAAAAUUUUAAAUUAAUAAUAUAUAUAUAUAUAAUUUAAAUAAGUACAAACAAAAACAACAUUGUUUAUUUUAUAUUCACAAUAGAAUUCAUAUCCGUUUUUUUUUUAACGCUUCAAUAUAUUUUUAUAAUAUUUAGUAAAUUUAUAUCUAAAACAACAUUUAAAUUCUAUAAAACAUAUUUCAUAUACACCAACAAAUAUAAUAAAGCAAUAGGAAAUUCAAUUUUCUAAAAUUUAAUUAAUGAUAUACAGUAAAAUAAAAAAAUGUAAAUUAAUAAAUCUGUAAUAAAAUAUCAUAGUCUUGAUAUUAUUAAUUAUAUAUUUUUACUGUAUAAAAGGAUAUAAUUUUAUUUUUAGGAUUUGUUGUACCUUUCCGUACGUUGUUUUUGACAUCUUUGUCUUUUAGCAAAACAUUGUUCAAUAGACACUAACUUGAGUCCAUAUGAAUGUGGAGCUAUGAGUUUGGUAUGAAUAUGUUUAAAUUGCUGGAAAAAAAAGACACUAACUUGAGUUUAAUCGCUUCGAGAUUGCAUGAAACUGAAAAGUUAUUUUUAAAAUAUUUCCCCUUUGGUUUGAAAACAUUACACCAAUCCUAUAAAAGUUCUUUCAAGAUUUGUAUGAAACUAAAAACGUUUUGUUUUUUUUUUUAAUAUAAAAAAUACCCUUUUGUUUGGUUUGAAACAUUACAACAAUCGUGUGUAUGAAUUUUUUUUGUAACUGAUGUGUAUGAAUUACUGAUCGAAACUUUGGUUGGGUUCUCAGGAAAAAAUUCCAAUUGAGGAAGUUUUCCAGCUGUUAAAAUGUACAAGUGAAGGGUUAACGACGCAGGAAGGGGAGGACAGGAUCCAGUUAUUUGGCCCCAACAAGCUCGAAGAGAAGAAGGUUUGAGUUUGACUUAAAGAGCUUUGGUUUUGUAGAAUGUUGGUGCGAGUUUCUGAAAACUCACAAGUUUGAUCUUCCCAUUUAAAACUUAAACAGGAAAGCAAGAUUCUCAAGUUUCUGGGGUUCAUGUGGAAUCCGCUUUCAUGGGUUAUGGAAGCUGCGGCUAUCAUGGCCAUUGCUUUGGCCAAUGGUGAUGGCAGACCUCCGGAUUGGCAAGAUUUUGUUGGUAUCAUCUGUCUGCUUGUUAUCAACUCCACUAUCAGUUUCAUUGAAGAAAACAAUGCUGGUAAUGCUGCAGCUGCUCUCAUGGCUGGUCUUGCUCCUAAAACCAAGGUAAUGUGUUGUAUCAUGUUGUGUUUCUGAAAUCUUUUUUUUCUUUGAGAACUAAUCUUUAUUCAGGGUAUCAAUGAUAUUAAUCGAUUUAACUUUUAACUUCAGAGUUCAAAUGCAAAAAAUCAGUUCACAAAUAAUAAUAUAGAUCUAAAAAUUGAAAGUAUUUUUGUUUUUUGUAUUAAAUUUGGCUGUUAUUUUUUUUUUUGAAACUUUUCUUGAGCUUAACCUGUUUUGUUUGCUUUGUUUUUGUUUUUCUUCUCAGGUUCUUAGGGAUGGAAAAUGGAGUGAACAAGAAGCUGCUAUACUUGUCCCAGGUGAUAUUGUUAGCAUUAAACUUGGAGACAUCAUCCCAGCCGAUGCCCGUCUUCUCGAAGGUGAUCCUUUAAAGGUUGAUCAGUCUGCUCUAACCGGAGAGUCUCUCCCUGUGACCAAGCACCCUGGUCAAGAAGUUUACUCUGGUUCAACUUGCAAGCAAGGAGAAAUCGAAGCAGUUGUUAUAGCUACAGGAGUCCGCACCUUCUUUGGUAAAGCUGCUCACCUUGUGGACAGCACUAACCAAGUUGGCCACUUCCAGAAAGUUCUCUCGUCCAUUGGAACCUUCUGUAUCUGCUCAAUUGCUACCGGUAUGGUGAUUGAAAUAAUAGUCAUGUACGGUAUUCAAAAAAGGAAGUACAGAGAUGGAAUUGACAACCUCUUGGUCCUCUUGAUCGGUGGUAUCCCCAUCGCUAUGCCGACGGUGCUGUCCGUGACUAUGGCUAUUGGCUCUCACAGGCUGUCUCAGCAAGGUGCCAUCACCAAACGUAUGACUGCCAUAGAAGAACUGGCGGGGAUGGAUGUCCUGUGCAGUGACAAAACCGGGACGCUAACACUCAAUAAACUGAGUGUGGACAAGGACUUGGUCGAGGUUUUCUGCAGGGGAGUUGAGAAAGGUCAAGUCUUAUUAUUUGCAGCCAUGGCUUCUAGGAUUGAGAACCAGGAUGCUAUUGAUGCAGCCAUGGUUAAUAUGCUUGGUGAUCCAAGGGAGGCCCGAGCUGGGAUCAAGGAGGUUCACUUCCUUCCAUUCAACCCUGUGGACAAGAGAACUGCUUUGACUUACAUCGACUCUGAUGGUAACUGGCAUAGAGUCAGCAAAGGCGCACCCGAGCAGAUCCUCGACCUUGCUAAUGCCAGGCCUGCGCUUAGGCAGAAGGCACUCGCUACUAUUAACAACUACGCAGAGCGCGGUCUUAGGUCAUUGGCAGUAGCUCGUCAGGUACUUAUUUAUAGGUCUAAGUUUAUAUCACAAAAAUAGCACUCAAUAACUAAAAUGAACAAAAUAGUAUUUUAUCUUUUGAAAAAUUUAAAUUUUUUUAUUUUUCAUAAUUUGAAAUCUUAUCCCCAAAACCUCACUUCUCAACUCUAAACCCUAAAACCUAAACUCUAAACCCUAAAUUCUAAACCCUAAACGCCACCCUUUGAGUGCUAUUUUUGUGACUUUUGGCCUUGAGUGCUAGUUUGGGAACAAAAACUUGAUUUAGUGCUAUUUUGGUCUUUUUCUCUUAUUUAUAUUACACCAGAGAUCUCUUCUUUUUUUUUUUGCAUUAACUCAGUUCUUGUUCCUUUUUUUUUAGUUGGUCCCUGAGAAAACAAAAGAAAGCUCAGGUGGACCAUGGGAGUUUGUUGGCUUGUUGCCUCUCUUUGACCCUCCAAGACAUGACAGUGCUGAAACCAUUCGUAGGGCUUUGAACCUUGGUGUUAACGUUAAAAUGAUUACUGGUAACUAUACUUAAAUUCACCGUAUUAUUAUUAUUUCAUCAAAAAAAAAACAUGGCUAUUUAAGAUGUUUUCACUUAACUACAUUGCCAGGUGAUCAACUUGCUAUAAUAUGCUUGGUGAUCCAAGGGAGGCCCGAGCUGGGAUCAAGGAGGUUCACUUCCUUCCAUUCAACCCUGUGGACAAGAGAACUGCUUUGACUUACAUCGACUCUGAUGGUAACUGGCAUAGAGUCAGCAAAGGCGCACCCGAGCAGAUCCUCGACCUUGCUAAUGCCAGGCCUGCGCUUAGGCAGAAGGCACUCGCUACUAUUAACAACUACGCAGAGCGCGGUCUUAGGUCAUUGGCAGUAGCUCGUCAGGUACUUAUUUAUAGGUCUAAGUUUAUAUCACAAAAAUAGCACUCAAUAACUAAAAUGAACAAAAUAGUAUUUUAUCUUUUGAAAAAUUUAAAUUUUUUUAUUUUUCAUAAUUUGAAAUCUUAUCCCCAAAACCUCACUUCUCAACUCUAAACCCUAAAACCUAAACUCUAAACCCUAAAUUCUAAACCCUAAACGCCACCCUUUGAGUGCUAUUUUUGUGACUUUUGGCCUUGAGUGCUAGUUUGGGAACAAAAACUUGAUUUAGUGCUAUUUUGGUCUUUUUCUCUUAUUUAUAUUACACCAGAGAUCUCUUCUUUUUUUUUUUGCAUUAACUCAGUUCUUGUUCCUUUUUUUUUAGUUGGUCCCUGAGAAAACAAAAGAAAGCUCAGGUGGACCAUGGGAGUUUGUUGGCUUGUUGCCUCUCUUUGACCCUCCAAGACAUGACAGUGCUGAAACCAUUCGUAGGGCUUUGAACCUUGGUGUUAACGUUAAAAUGAUUACUGGUAACUAUACUUAAAUUCACCGUAUUAUUAUUAUUUCAUCAAAAAAAAAACAUGGCUAUUUAAGAUGUUUUCACUUAACUACAUUGCCAGGUGAUCAACUUGCUAUUGGUAAGGAAACUGGUCGCAGGCUUGGGAUGGGAACCAAUAUGUAUCCAUCUGCGGCUCUUCUCGGUACCGACAGGGACUCAAACAUUGCCUCCGUUCCUAUUGAGGAGUUGAUUGAGAAGGCUGAUGGGUUUGCUGGCGUCUUUCCAGGUUACUCAGUCUUAAAACCAAAUCAUAAUUAGAAAAAUGUUUUGUUAUAUUGAUUGAUUGAUCCAAGGUUUUAUUGUUUCAGAGCACAAAUAUGAGAUUGUGAAAAAGCUGCAAGAGAUGAAACACAUUGUUGGAAUGACUGGUGAUGGUGUCAAUGAUGCUCCUGCUUUGAAGAAAGCUGACAUUGGUAUUGCUGUGGCUGAUGCUACUGAUGCUGCUCGUGGUGCUUCUGAUAUCGUUCUCACCGAACCUGGUUUGAGUGUUAUCAUCAGUGCAGUGCUCACUAGCAGAGCUAUCUUCCAGAGAAUGAAGAACUAUACAGUGCACAUUCUAUUAAUUUUUUUUUAGUCUUAUUCUUAUAUUAUGACCACUACUCUGUAGGAAACUAAUAACUAUUUUUUUCUCAUGCAUGUGACAGAUUUAUGCAGUCUCAAUCACAAUCCGUAUUGUUGUAAGUAAUCACAAACCAAACAUCUAUCACUUGUUUCUUUUAUUGUAUAUACUGAUCAUAUUGUAACUUUUUGCAGUUUGGUUUCAUGCUCAUUGCUCUGAUAUGGGAAUUUGACUUCUCAGCCUUCAUGGUUCUGAUUAUUGCCAUCCUUAAUGAUGGUGAGAAAAUGACCAUAUAACCUCUUAAUAUUAUAACUAGUUGUUAUGGUAAUAAUGUGUUGCUGUCUUUUAGGUACUAUCAUGACAAUCUCAAAGGAUAGAGUCAAGCCAUCUCCAACACCUGAUAGCUGGAAGCUCAAUGAAAUCUUUGCCACUGGAAUUGUGUUGGGAGGCUACCAAGCCGUUAUGAGUGUGAUUUUCUUCUGGGUGAUUCACAAGACUGACUUCUGCUCGGUGUGUGUUAGGGAUUAUAUAGAUAAAUAUUGUGUAAGAAACUAUUACUUACCUUUUACUUGCAGGACAAGUUUGGUGUGAGGUCAAUCAGGGACAAUAACGAUGAACUAAUGUCUGCUGUGUACCUACAAGUUAGUAUCAUCAGUCAAGCGCUUAUAUUCGUCACGAGGUCAAGGAGCUGGUCAUUCGUUGAACGUCCUGGGGCGCUUCUGAUGAUUGCAUUCGUCAUUGCACAACUGGUAAUUAAGAACAUCAUAUAUUUUCAGGAAUUCCAGAAAAGAAACUCAUCUCACUCUUCCUUCCUUCCAAAUGCAGGUUGCUACUUUGAUUGCAGUGUAUGCAGACUGGACUUUUGCAAGGGUGAAAGGUAUAGGUUGGGGAUGGGCUGCCGUGAUUUGGGUUUACAGUAUUUUAACAUACAUCCCACAAGAUAUUUUGAAGUUUGCCAUUAGAUACAUCUUGAGUGGAAAGGCUUGGGUCAGCAUGUUUGACAAAAGGGUACGUACACACAACUAACUCUCUUUUACAUCUUGAUGGUAAACAUAAUAAUACUCAUUGCUUCUGCUGUUACUUUGUGAGCAGACCGCUUUGACGACCAGGAGAGAUUACGGUGCUGGAGAAAGACAAGCUGAGUGGGCAAGAGAACAAAGGACGCAGCACGGUCUGCAGACAAGGCAAGAGGUCAACGUCUUCCCAGAGAACGGGGGUUACAGAGAGCUGUCUCAGAUCGUUGAGCAAGCCAAGAAAAGGGCCGAGAUAGCUAGGUAAGUGUACUUUGAUUAAAUCGAUCUCAACGGAAGAAACUGGAAUUUUCUUGAUUUUUAUUAAUUGGUGAAUGCUUUGUUGUGACAGGCUUAGGGAGAUUCACACAUUUAAGGGACAUGUUGAAUCAGUCGCAAAGCUAAAGGGCUUGGACAUUGAUACAUCAGGACAUCACUACACUCUGUAGUUGCCAUAACUAUUCCCAAAAACUCUCUUUUUUUCUAUUGUUAGUCAUUGUUCCUAAACUUCUAAAAUAGAGCUAACUCGGUGUCCCGGACGAUUCCAAAGAUCUCAACCGAAGAAAGCUUUUGAGUUACUUUACUUGCUUUGACAAACACUUGACAAUCUGAUUUUAUACAGAUUUUUGAGAUGCCGAAGUAUUUUGCACUGAUCAGAGCUGAUCGAAUUGCUAAAGUGUUAGGAGUGAAUCCAAUCACUCCUUUGAUACCUUUGAACACAAGUUGCUUUGAUACCAAUCAAUGUUCCUCCUCGAAGCUAAGAGAGUUUGUGAAAAACAAACUAAUAAAACAUAACACAAGUUACUUCAAUUUUCUUCUCUGACUUUUUCUUUUGGCUUUUCUCGUUUAAAUAAAGAAACUAGAACCAUAAGUUCCAACAGUUACGGAAGCAAAUUACGUAAAGGGAAACAUGGACAUCCUGAGUUACUCUCCCCUUGGAAAAAAGACACGUGCACGAGACCAUAACUAAUACAUGCAACAAUAAUAAAUAAAUAUAAUAAUCUGUUAAACCACAUACGGUUUUUUUGCCGGUUCAAUAAUUACCAACUCAUCAUAAAGCCUCUGCUUGGAGGGAGGAGGCGACCUGCAUUUCCAGAGAUGAUCAGCGAGGCACUCCGGAAUAUAAUGAAAAAUAUUUAUUAAAUAAUCACUAAUUUUUUUAAAAAACUAACAAUUCAAAUUUUAUUUAUUAAAAUUAAUGAAUCAACCUAAAAUCUUGGAAUAUGACGAAUAAGCUUCUAAAAAUUAAUAAAACAUGACAAAUAAUCAAAAUAAAUUAAAAUUAUUGAGAAUAUGGCAAGUAAGCAAUCUCACUUAUAUAAAUAAUUUCAAAUAUUAAAUUAAUCAGAAGAUAUAAUUUUACCUUUUUUUAUUACAACUCAACUUAGAUAAUGGUUUGGUAGUUGCAAAAUCUUUUAUUUAUUCUAUCACCAAACCACACAUGUAAAAAGUAUCAUCAUCAUAAUAACCUAAUAAAGUUUUAUUUAUACUUUCAAAUAACGUAAAAGAUAAAUCUACAAAUUAAACUACAAUUACCAAUUAUCAGUGAAGCCUAUGAAAUCAAACCCCUCUUCAUUAAAUAAUAGUAUAGAUGAUUGAACAUUUUUCCUUGUUUCCGUGAUUCCUAACAAUAAUUAAAAACAUAUUUCUAUUUAACUAAAAAGUUAUAAACUAAAAGUAGUAAAUUAUAUAUGUCUUGUAAAAACUGGAUUUUUUUUUUAAUUUACAACGACAAGAUGAUUCACUCACAUAAAAAAAAGCUUCUUUUCAAAAAUAUUAAAUAAAAACAUUAAACGAUUUAAUAUUACUAAAGUAAACAUAAGAUAAACAUAACUAUACAAUUAUUGCUCAAAUUUGAUAAUACUCGUUAAUAAUAAUUAUCCUGAAUAUAAUUAAAUAUUUAUUAAAUAAUCACUGAAAUUGUAUAAAACCUAACAAUUCAAAAUUUGAUUUAUAAAAAUUAAUGACUCAACCUAAAAUCAUGGAAUGUGACGAAUAAACUUCUAAAAAUUAAUAAAACAUGACAAAUAAUUAAAAUAACUUAAAAUCACUGAGAACAUGGCAAGUAAGAAAUUUUAAUUAUUUAAAUAAUUUUAAAUAUUAAAUUAAUUAGAAGAUAUAAUUUACUUUUUUUUAUUACAACACAACUUAGAUAACGGUUUGGUACUUGCAAAAUAUUUUAUUUAUUCUAUCACCAAACCACACAUGUAAAGAGUAUCAUCAUCAUAAUAACCUAAUAAAGUUUAAUUAAUAUUUUAAAAUAACGUAAAAGAUAAAUCUACAAAUUAAACCACAAUUACCAAUUAUCAGUGAAGCAUGUGAAAUCAAACCCCUCUUCAUCAAAUAAUAGUAUAGAUGAUUGAACACUUUUCCUUGUUUUGGUAAUUCCUACAAACAUUAGUUUAAUUGUAUUUUAUAUGAAUUUUCUCUUCAUCGAAGUUCAUAGUGACUACCUAUUAACAAAAUAUACAAUAAUUAAAAAUAUAUUUUUAUUUAAACAAAAAUUUAUAAACUAAAAAUAAUAAAAUAUAUAUGUCUAGUGAAACUGAUUUUUUUUUUUAAUUUACAAGGACAAGAUAUUGUAUUCUUUGGACUCAUAGUUUUUGAUUGAAGAUGAUUCGCUGACAUAAAGAGAAGAAAGCUACUUUAAAAAAAAAACAUUAAACGAUUUAGCAUUACUAAAGUAAAUAUAAGAUAAACAUAACUAUAAAAAGUAUUUCUAAAAUUUGAUAAUACUCGUUAAUAAUAAUUCUCCUGAAUAUGAUAAAAAUAUUUAUUAAAUAAUAACUAAAAUUGUUUAGAAACUAACAAUUCAAAAAAAAAAUAUACUAUUAAAGAAGGAUACAAUUCGGGCUUUUUCCACUAAUUGCCCCUACCUUUCUAUUUAAAGUCUAAAUUGUGUCUUUCAUUAAGGGUAAUUUGGAAAUUUGCGAACAUUUAAUUACCUACAAUAUUUUAUUAUUUUCUUGCUAUUUAUUUUCCUAUUAAUAGUUUUAAAAAUAAAAAAUCUUACUAUAAAUCGUGGUAAGCAAAAUUUUAGGGGCCUAACAAGAUUUAUAUUCUUGAGUAUAUAGGAAAUAAUUUAUACAAAAAAUCUCUAUAUCUAUUUACACAUUAAAUAUAUUUAAGAUCAUUAUAUCUACAAAGUGUAAACGUCCCACAUUGAAACUCUGUGAAAUUCAUCAGCAAAAAUGAUUACUAUAAUUUCAUGCAUUCAAUAUUUAAAUAUUUAUAGUAAAAUCUUCGAACCAAAAUUUGGAUGCAAUCCAAUCACAAGAUAUUAUCUUUUUCUUUACUAACAAGAUAUUCCAAAAAUAGUCUUACCUUAUAAGCAUAAGAUUUUUCAGAGAAUUUAUUUGAGAAUACUCUAUUUCAAAGCUUAUCGUGAAAGUUAGAUCAUUUAGAAACGUUUACCGAUCUACUAUAUAUAUGACAUUUACAGCAGAAAAACGAAGUCACUGAAUUUUCUGAUGCUAACUUUUUGAUGCUUUCAACUUAGUAUUUUUUUAUAUUUUAGAAUGUAAAUAUUUUAUAUAUAUAUAUAUAUAUAUACAUAUAUUUUUGGUUUGCUGAUACUGUUUUUUUUUAAUGUGCUGAUGAACUAUCAUAAAGAUUCUUCAUUUCAAUCCACAUAUGAUUUGAUUAUUUUUCAUUUUUUUCUCAUUUUUUACUUCUCAUUUUUUUCAGUCAUGUUAUUUAACAUGUCAUCUUUUGUAAUGUACACUGCGAUAAAUAUUUGUAAGUUUAAAACGUUGAGAAUAUUAUGAUAAGUAUUCACGUCAACAUUGUUAUGAACAUAAUGACGAUUUAACUUAUUUUACUUAUGUAAAAUGAAAGUUCAAUAAUAUAUAUAACUGAACUUAAAAAAUAUAUGACACAUUUAUAUGAGACUCGCAAAGGAAAAAAUAUCCGCUUUUUGAAAAUGCGGAUCAAAUCUAGUUAUUUAUUAAAACUAAUGAUUUAAUCUAAAAUUAUGGAAUAUGGCAAAUAAGCUUCUAAAGUUAAUUAAACAUUACAAAUAAGCAAAAUAACCUAAAAACAUGGAAAAAAAUGGCACGUAAGAAAAAUCACUAAUAAUAAAAUAGAUUUCAGUUGAGAGUGCGCAUAUCAUAUAUGUCCACAGAUAAUAACAAUAUUAAUCAUGAUUUUUUUUUAUUUUAUGAUAUAACUCAAUAUUAAAUUGUGUGAUUACAUUGAAGUAACCGACUAUUAGAGAAAUGAGCUCAAAUAUAUCCGAAACAAGUUUUUGUUUCCAAACUAGUUUUAAAAGGUCAAAAUGAUCAAAAUAAGUUUUAUUAAAAAGAUAAAUGACAAUUAUAAAUCUUAUUGUAAGUUUUAUUAAAGGUCAAAAUGAUCAAAAUAAAUUUUAUCAAAUUUAGAAAGAUAUCAUACAGAUUUAGGAAGAAAUUCUUAAAUAUACAUACAAUUUACAUUCAAGAUUACACAUUUAUAAACCAUUCCUCAAUUCAGGAAAUUAUUUUACAAAUUCAGAAAGAUAUCCUACAUGCUAAGGAAGGUUUUCCUAGGAUUGUUUUAAAAGGAGUUAUUGGAAAUAUAUAAUUUAGAAAAAGAAAAUUUGAAAAACAUAUUUUGACUUUGUUAUUUUUAAUUUUUUUUUAUAAUUUUGAUAUAUUGUGAUUAUCUAAAAUUGUAAACGAUGAUAUAAUUGUCAUUACCCAUUUAAUGAAACAUAUUUUGAUCACUUUAAUUUUGGAGCUAUCUAAAAUACACUAAAGUGGAAAAAAAAUAUUUAGGAGAUUUUCUCCAACUAUUAUUAUUUAGUGAUUUUAUGAAGACCCAUAAGUAAUCAAUUUUACAGCUAAUUAUUAAUAAAUGCGUAAUUUAAAAACCAUCAUGAUAAUAAUUUUGUUUCUCUUCAUAUUUUAAACCAAUCAUUAAAUUAUAUAUACGGGUUUUUUAAUAAAAAUAUAUAUAAUCAUCAAAUUUUGGAAACAUUGAAGUAUUAUAAAUAAUUUAAAAAUCUCUUUAUACACUAUAUUCAUUGAUUAUACAAAAUUAUUUAUUUACUUGAUUAGUAUUUAAUUAUGCAUCUGUUUUUCUUAAUUGAAAAAUAUUCUUUUUAAAUAAUAACACAAUAUAUAUUAGUUUUUAAUGUGUUUUUAAUCUUAAUUUUUUUUUUAUAAUUUUAAUUUAUAAUCAGUUAUCUAAUCUAAUAAAUAAAUCUAGUUAUUCAUUAAGGUAUCAAUGAUAUUAACUUUUCCAUUGGAUUUCGAAAUCAAAACAAGUGAUUAAUUUUAAAAUUCUUGAAUCUUAACCACAAAGAAAUACACAAUAAUAUCUGAUUCUAAUUAUACAGCCAAAACACGUGUCCAGGUGAGAAAGGAUGCCAUAAAAAAUCAAGAACCAAUUGAUGAACACCAAAUAAUAAAGAGAAGAAACAAAUAAAACAAAUCAAAUUUGGUUUGAGUGCCGAAAAAAGAAUGAAAUAAUACAUUAACAAAAUGGGUAAAAUAGAGAAUCUAGCACGGGGUCCACAUGAGCUAAAACGGUGGAGAAGUCCGUCGUUUGAAUGUCGAAUAAAAAGGAGGAGACGUUUUUCCCUCUGCAAUAGAACCUCUCUCUCUCGGGUGUCUGUGUUAUCAAGUGUUGAAACGACAGAGAGGGACGCCGUUUCGUGGAGAACGGAAAGAGAUGUCAGGUCUCGAGAAUAUCAAGAACGAGAAUGUUGAUCUGGUAUUUUAUUCAUUCCUAUCUUCUGGCUUAAUCAAUUGUUAUCAUGCACACAAAACUGUUGGAUGAUUUCAUUGAACGUGAGUAUAGAUCUGUUUUGUUACCGUUUUGCAUGAUUGCUCUUGCUGUUAAAAUGUUUCUUUCACGAUUAAUUCCUAAUGAAAAUUAGCCCUUGCCUCCAAAUGUUAAAAAACUAAUAUACAUAGACGGUAUAGCCCCAAAUAUUUAUGGUUCCUUAAAAAUAUUGGAUGGGAUUCUGAAACAGUUCCUUAAAUCCCCACCCCUUAAAUCUCAGAUUUGUCUACCUAUUUAUUUCAAAGAUAAAACAUGAACUUCAUAACUUUUAGGGUAUUUAGCCAAGAACAGAGGGGAUUAUAGUUCAUAACAACUUUUGCACUUGAAACAGAGGCGGAGCUAAGCUACGUCACAAUAAAUUGCUUUCAUAUAGUAUUAAUUAAAUUUUAUUUUGCUUCUGAGAGACACUUCUUUUUUUUUUUUCUGAAAAUCUUGUUGUAAGAUAAUUUUUUACUGUUAAAUCAGCUUCUAAUAUUAGGGAUGUCAAUCAAAUCUGCAAUAUUUAAGUCCAGUCAGUCCGGUCUAAAAAUAUUUUGAGCCUAUACUUUAAGGACAUGUCGGCUCUAAUAAAAUUAAAGGGCUUUUAAAAAUGAGUUUCCUAAAUAAUUUAUUAUUAUGUUGUAUCUAUCAUUUUAUUUUAAAAUAUUUAAGUUCUUAUAAAAAAAACAUUUUCACAUUUUCAUGUUCAAAAAUGUUUUAUAACAAUAAUGUUUUAUACGCAUUAAACCAUAAUUUAAGUAAACUAUAUUUAACAAGAUUUAUAUAAUCAUAUGUAAAUUAAAAUUAAAUAUAUAAGAAAACAAUAUUUAUGUCAAAAGGUCGUCAAAUGUUCCAUAUUUUGUAUUUUUAUAAUAUUUUUUACAUAAACAAGAAGCACAUUUAUCGGAAUUAGCGUGUGUCUCUUGUAUUGAUUGAACGUUUAAGUAUUUUCACAUCCAUAUUUGCUUUGCUAGAGUUUGUAUCAAGAAAUAUGCCAAUACCAAAACAUCUUCGGUCACAUAAAUGAUCCUAGUUAAACUAAAAUGUAAAGAUUAUAGUUUUUUGUGCUGGUCCUAUCCCAAGUAGAUUAAACCCAAAACAUCAAUGAAUAAUCCAAAAAACUCAUUUUUGGGUGUAUAUAAUUAAACCCAAACUCGAUACUUUAUAGGACAUAACAGGUUUGUGUUUAAACUCUAAUUAACAUGUCUACCUAAUAUAUAUAUAUAUUUUUUGAAAUUGAAUUUCAUUCACCGGAAAGAUACAAGGUAGAAUACAUAAGUACACGAAAAAAUCUCCGGAAACAUAACCUAAUAUUCUAUCGUCCAUCCAUAAAAAUACGUCCCAAAAUACAAAUAAUUUUUAAUUACACUAUAAACUCUAUAAACUAAUAUUCGAUAAACUAAUAACACAAUAAACUAAUAACACAAUAAAUUAAUAAAUUAAUAAAUUAAUAAAUUUAUUCAGCGCGGAGCUGGACUAGUUUAAAAUAUGACACAAAUCGAUAAAAUAAUAAGAUAAUAAUUUUUAGAAAAUCCUAGAUAAAGAUAUAGUCCCAUUAAAAUUUUAAAUUAAUAAUAUACAUAUAAUUUAUAUAAGUACAAACAAAAACAACAUUGUUUAUUUUAUAUUCACAAUAGAAUUCAUAUCUGUUUUUUUUCUUAACACUUCAAUAUAUUUUUUAUAAUAUUUAGUAAAUUUAUAUCUAAAACAACAUUUAAAUUCUAUAAAACAUAUUUCAUAUACACCAACAAAUAUAAUAAAACAAUAGGAAAUUUAAUUUUCUAAAAUUUAAUUAAUGUAUAUACGGUAAAAUAAAAAAUGUAAAUUAAUAACUCUGUAAUAAAAUAUCAUAGUCUGAAUAUUAUUAAUUAUAUAUUUUUACUGUAUAAAAGGAUAUAAUUUUAUUUUUAGGAUUUGUUGUACCUUUAGGUACGUUGUUUUUCACAUCUUUAUCUUUUAGGAAAACAUUGUUCAAUAGACACUAACUUGAGUCUAUAUGAAAGUGGAGCUAUCAGUUUUGUUUGCAGAAUCCGUAAGACUCUGUUUAAAUUCCUUUAAAUUGCGGAGAGAAAAAAAAGACACUAACUUGAGUCAACACCACCAAGUCGCCGAGUUUGAUCGCUUCGAGAUUGCAUGAAACUGAAAAGUUAUUUUUAAAAUAUUUUCCCUUUGGUUUGGUUUGAAAACAUUACACCAAUCCUAUAAAAGUUCUUUCAAGAUUUGUGUGAAGCUAAAAACGUUUUUUUUUUUUGUUUAAUAUAAAAAAUACCCUUUUGUUUGGUUUGAAACAUUACAACAAUCGUGUGUAUGAAUUUUUUUUGUAACUGAUGUGUAUGAAUUACUGAUCGAAACUUUGGUUGGGUUCUCAGGAAAAAAUUCCAAUUGAGGAAGUUUUCCAGCUGUUAAAAUGUACAAGUGAAGGGUUAACGACGCAGGAAGGGGAUGACAGGAUCCAGUUAUUUGGCCCCAACAAGCUCGAAGAGAAGAAGGUUUGAGUUUGACUUAAAGAGCUUUGGUUUUGUAGAAUGUUGGUGCGAGUUUCUGAAAACUCACAAGUUUGAUCUUCCCAUUUAAAACUUAAACAGGAAAGCAAGAUUCUCAAGUUUCUGGGGUUCAUGUGGAAUCCGCUUUCAUGGGUUAUGGAAGCUGCGGCUAUCAUGGCCAUUGCUUUGGCCAAUGGUGAUGGCAGACCUCCUGAUUGGCAAGAUUUUGUUGGUAUCAUCUGUCUGCUUGUUAUCAACUCCACUAUCAGUUUCAUUGAAGAAAACAAUGCUGGUAAUGCUGCAGCUGCUCUCAUGGCUGGUCUUGCUCCUAAAACCAAGGUAAUGUGUCGUAUCAUGUUGUGUUUCUGAAACCUUUUUUUUUCUUUGAGAACUAAUCUUUAUUCAGGGUAUCAAUGAUAUUAACCGAUUUAACUUUUAACUUCGGAGUUCAAAUGCAAAAAAUUAGUUCACAAAUAAUAAUAUAAAUCUAAAAAUUGUAAAGUAUUUUUGUUUUCUGUAUUAAAUUUGGCUGUUAUUUUUUUUGAAACUUUUCUUGAGCUUAACCUGUUUUGUUUGCUUUCUUUUUGUUUUUCUUCUCAGGUUCUUAGGGAUGGAAAAUGGAGUGAACAAGAAGCUGCUAUACUUGUCCCAGGUGAUAUUGUUAGCAUUAAACUUGGAGACAUCAUCCCAGCCGAUGCCCGUCUUCUCGAAGGUGAUCCUUUAAAGGUUGAUCAGUCUGCUCUAACCGGAGAGUCUCUCCCUGUGACCAAGCACCCUGGUCAAGAAGUUUACUCUGGUUCAACUUGCAAGCAAGGAGAAAUCGAAGCAGUUGUUAUAGCUACAGGAGUCCGCACCUUCUUUGGCAAAGCUGCUCACCUUGUGGACAGCACUAACCAAGUUGGCCACUUCCAGAAAGUUCUCUCGUCCAUUGGAACCUUCUGUAUCUGCUCAAUCGCUACCGGUAUGGUGAUCGAAAUAAUAGUCAUGUACGGUAUUCAAAAAAGGAAGUACAGAGAUGGAAUUGACAACCUCCUGGUCCUCUUGAUUGGUGGUAUCCCCAUCGCUAUGCCGACGGUGCUGUCCGUGACUAUGGCUAUUGGCUCUCGCAGGCUGUCUCAGCAAGGUGCCAUCACCAAACGUAUGACUGCCAUAGAAGAACUGGCGGGGAUGGAUGUCCUGUGCAGUGACAAAACCGGGACGCUAACACUCAAUAAACUGAGUGUGGACAAGGACUUGGUCGAGGUUUUCUGCAGGGGAGUUGAGAAAGGUCAAGUCUUAUUAUUUGCAGCCAUGGCUUCUAGGAUUGAGAACCAGGAUGCUAUUGAUGCAGCCAUGGUUAAUAUGCUUGGUGAUCCAAGGGAGGCCCGAGCUGGGAUCAAGGAGGUUCACUUCCUUCCAUUCAACCCUGUGGACAAGAGAACUGCUUUGACUUACAUCGACUCUGAUGGUAACUGGCAUAGAGUCAGCAAAGGUGCUCCUGAGCAGAUCCUCGAUCUUGCUAAUGCCAGGCCUGCCCUUAGGCAGAAGGCACUCGCUACUAUUAACAACUACGCAGAGCGCGGUCUUAGGUCAUUGGCAGUUGCUCGUCAGGUACUUAUUUACAUUACACCAGAGAUCUCUUCUUUUUUCUUUUUUUGCAUUAACUCAGUUCUUGUUCCUUUUUUUUUAGUUGGUCCCUGAGAAAACAAAAGAAAGCUCAGGUGGACCAUGGGAGUUUGUUGGCUUGUUGCCUCUCUUUGACCCUCCAAGACAUGACAGUGCUGAAACCAUUCGUAGGGCUUUGAACCUUGGUGUUAACGUUAAGAUGAUUACUGGUAACUAUACUUAAAUUCAUCAUAUUAUUAUUAUUGCAUCAAAAAAAAACAUGGCUAUUUAAGAUGUUUUCACUUAACUACAUUGCCAGGUGAUCAACUUGCUAUUGGUAAGGAAACUGGUCGCAGGCUUGGGAUGGGAACCAAUAUGUAUCCAUCUGCGGCUCUUCUCGGUACCGACAGGGACUCAAACAUUGCCUCCGUUCCUAUUGAGGAGUUGAUUGAGAAGGCUGAUGGGUUUGCUGGCGUCUUUCCAGGUUACUCAGUCUUAAAACCAAAUCAUAAUUAGAAAAAUGUUUUGUUAUAUUGAUUGAUUGAUCCAAGGUUUUAUUGUUUCAGAGCACAAAUAUGAGAUUGUGAAAAAGCUGCAAGAGAUGAAACACAUUGUUGGAAUGACUGGUGAUGGUGUCAAUGAUGCUCCUGCUUUGAAGAAAGCUGACAUUGGUAUUGCUGUGGCUGAUGCUACUGAUGCUGCUCGUGGUGCUUCUGAUAUCGUUCUCACCGAACCUGGUUUGAGUGUUAUCAUCAGUGCAGUGCUCACUAGCAGAGCUAUCUUCCAGAGAAUGAAGAACUAUACAGUGCACAUUCUAUUAAUUUUGUUUUAGUCUUAUUCUUAUAUUAUGACCACUACUCUGUAGGAAACUAAUAACUAUUUUUUUCUCAUGCAUGUGACAGAUUUAUGCAGUCUCAAUCACAAUCCGUAUUGUUGUAAGUAAUCACAAACCAAACAUCUAUCACUUGUUUCUUUUAUUGUAUAUACUGAUCAUAUUGUAACUUUUUGCAGUUUGGUUUCAUGCUCAUUGCUCUGAUAUGGGAAUUUGACUUCUCAGCCUUCAUGGUUCUGAUUAUUGCCAUCCUUAAUGAUGGUGAGAAAAUGACCAUAUAACCUCUUAAUAUUAUAACUAGUUGUUAUGGUAAUAAUGUGUUGCUGUCUUUUAGGUACUAUCAUGACAAUCUCAAAGGAUAGAGUCAAGCCAUCUCCAACACCUGAUAGCUGGAAGCUCAAUGAAAUCUUUGCCACUGGAAUUGUGUUGGGAGGCUACCAAGCCGUUAUGAGUGUGAUUUUCUUCUGGGUGAUUCACAAGACUGACUUCUGCUCGGUGUGUGUUAGGGAUUAUAUAGAUAAAUAUUGUGUAAGAAACUAUUACUUACCUUUUACUUGCAGGACAAGUUUGGUGUGAGGUCAAUCAGGGACAAUAACGAUGAACUAAUGUCUGCUGUGUACCUACAAGUUAGUAUCAUCAGUCAAGCGCUUAUAUUCGUCACGAGGUCAAGGAGCUGGUCAUUCGUUGAACGUCCUGGGGCGCUUCUGAUGAUUGCAUUCGUCAUUGCACAACUGGUAAUUAAGAACAUCAUAUAUUUUCAGGAAUUCCAGAAAAGAAACUCAUCUCACUCUUCCUUCCUUCCAAAUGCAGGUUGCUACUUUGAUUGCAGUGUAUGCAGACUGGACUUUUGCAAGGGUGAAAGGUAUAGGUUGGGGAUGGGCUGCCGUGAUUUGGGUUUACAGUAUUUUAACAUACAUCCCACAAGAUAUUUUGAAGUUUGCCAUUAGAUACAUCUUGAGUGGAAAGGCUUGGGUCAGCAUGUUUGACAAAAGGGUACGUACACACAACUAACUCUCUUUUACAUCUUGAUGGUAAACAUAAUAAUACUCAUUGCUUCUGCUGUUACUUUGUGAGCAGACCGCUUUGACGACCAGGAGAGAUUACGGUGCUGGAGAAAGACAAGCUGAGUGGGCGACAGAACAAAGGACGCAGCACGGUCUGCAGACAAGACAAGAGGUCAACGUCUUCCCAGAGAACGGGGGUUACAGAGAGCUGUCUCAGAUCGUUGAGCAAGCCAAGAAAAGGGCCGAGAUAGCUAGGUAAGUGUACUUUGAUUAAAUCAAUCUCAAUGGAAGAAACUUGAAUUUUCUUGAUUUUUAUUGGCGAAUGCUUUGUUGUGACAGGCUUAGGGAGAUUCACACAUUUAAGGGACAUGUUGAAUCAGUUGCAAAGCUAAAGGGCUUGGACAUUGAUACAUCAGGACAUCACUACACUCUGUAGUUGCCAUAACUAUUCCCAAAAACUCUCUUUUUUUCUAUUGUUAGUCAUUGUUCCUAAACUUCUAAAAUGGAGCUUUGUAUUUGCCUUUGAAGAAACAAGGCUUUUGACUUGGACUACAUCCUUUUCAAUGGUCUAAUGUGAACCUGUUGCUCUCUCGUUUCCAUUUUCUGUUUUUUUAACAAAUUCCAUCUUUGAUAUAUAAUAUUUGAAUCAUGUUAUUCAGUGCCAUUCUAAAAUGUUAGUAUAUAUUUAUGCUUAUGUACAAAGAUCAGGAUGUCUAACUUGUGACAUACAUUGAGAUUGUCGUGGGGUUGGACAACUCACAAUAACUUCAAGUAUGAAGACACGUGCAAAGAUAUGGAUGAUGACUUCAAAUCAUAUCACUUGCUCUUUGUAAUGUGAUAGGAAGCUCUAGCAUGGCAUUGUUCCUUGAAGUAUCAUUUACUAGGCUUUAUUUUUACUCGUGUGGUGGACCUGUGGUGUCAAAUUACAAAGAGAAAGUGAUAUCAUCAUCAUCAUCAUGAUCAUAGAAUCUUGUUUCUAGAAUUUUGGAAGAACAUGUAGAAUCCUCGACAGGGGAAGAUAAUAGCUUGUAUAGCAAUAAAUGUUUCCACGCGAUUUUUUUUUGGCAGAAAAGCCAAAGCCAUGUCUACGUUAUGUUUCAACGGUUUUUCGCAACUUUUGUGGUUGAUUUAUGAACCGAGAUUAUUCAUGUUGAUCGUAUCGAGAGUUGGAACCAAAUGACUCGUGAUGGACAACGAAAUCCACUCAUAAAUUAAUGUUAGGGUUUGAACUUUGAACAAAUAAUGAAUAAAAUGACAAUUUUGAUAUGAUUUGAGGUAAAAAGGUAUAACUUAUUGAUUAUGAAUGUUGGUACAAUGUCAAUGAAUAUAGUAUAUGAUCUAUAUACAAAAUGUGUAUAGUUUUGAUGCCUGGGACUUGGAUCCUCUUCUCUUUCCAUAUUUGGUGAUAUGGGUGCAUGCCACAUCCUCCACCGGCUUGGGUAAUCGCGUCUGAACAGUUGAUGGACCCUUGUGAGGCUUAGGCUAGAGGAGUCUUCGUCUGACGCGCUGCACAUCUCUCAUCUUUUUGCACUCGUCAGGCUGGCCACUUUUACUCUUAUUAAAUUGAUUACCCUUAUAUGAGUUAUGUCUCUAGCCGCACGUUGCUAAGAAUAUAGUUUUUUGGUAAGCAGCUCUUCCAUUCUCCAAAUUUCUACAAUUUAUCCAUUUUUUUUCACAGCUCUUGUUUAGUUCUGGUAAAUAAGAUAUAUACAUUUGAUGUAUAAAGCUUUUUUCAUUAGAAAAAUAUUAAAGGGUUUAUCACAUUCAUUUCCUCCUUCAAAAUAUUUUCAUAGCUUUCCCAUCUCUUAUAUAUUAUUCGAGAAACAAUACAACAUUUGAGUUAUGACAUGUGUCAUCACUAUAAUGAUUUUUAAUUUUUUUAGAAAAAUAGAUUGGUACAUCUAAAGUAUACUAAUAUUUUCAUUAAACUAAUAAUUAAAUUAAUUAUUAAUUUACAAGAAAAUAUUUUUAAAAAAUAAAAGCUACGGAAUUACCCAAUGUGAUUACAAUAUAUAUGACAAAUUAGUGAUUUUGAAUAAUAUAUAUUUGAUAACAAUUUUUGUAUUCUCUAUCAUUUUGGUUUAAUUUUAAAUUGUAACAAUAAAUUAAACAGUUACAUUAAUCAUAUAAUAAAAUUUAGAUUUUUUCAUAUAAGUUAUAUAUUCAAUUAUUAAAAACAAUAUAAAUUGUUAAAACUUUUAAAAGUCCCACAUUUAAAAAUUGUAAUUACUAAUGGUGUAACAAAAUUGUUAUAAAAAGAUAAAAGUUGAUCAUAAAAUCAUAUGAGUAUGAAGUCUUAUUAAAUAUAAUAUAUAUAUAUAUAUUUACAUAAAAAUAUAUAUUUUAAUAUUAAGUUUCAAUAUAAUUCAAAUUAAAAUAUAUACCAUAUAAACUCACAUAAAUAUUUUAAAUUUGAAAUUUGCAUUUAACAAGUAUUGAAAACUUAAUAUUUUAAUUCAUAAUUUACAUUAAUUUUUUUAAACGAUUAUAAAUUACAAAAACUAAUAAAAGUCACAUUUGUAAAAAACAUUUAUCAACGGUUUUAAUUUUUUUGUUAUAAAAAAUAAUAAUAAUCUUAAAACCAUAUGAGUACAAAGAUCUAUUUAAAAAAUAGUCAUAUUAAAUAUAUUUUAUAUAUCUAUUUAAUAUCAUUUAAAUUUAAUUAUAUACCAUAUAAAAUAGAUAAAAGUGAUUGUUUAUAUUUAUUUACCAUUAAGUUAUUGUAAAUAUUUAUGUGUUUAUGCCAAUUUAAUUAUAUACAUUAUUAGCUUCUCAAUUAUUUAAUAUAUAUUUAUAAUAUGUAAAAAAUCAAAAUAAAUAAUUGUAAGUAAAAAUAAUUUAUGUACACAAUGAUAAUUCCAUGCAAAAUACGGAUAUUAAUCUACUUUGAUUUUUAAAAUUGAGAUCAUACAUUUUCAGUCAUAUUUUUGUUUCUUACCAAAUAUUCAUAUAUGUAACCGUAGAUAGCAUCCCAUUCGCUUACCAACCGGAUUGACUUUAUACACUGCACUACACGUGUUAGUUUGGUCUGAUUCGUUUCUGGCAAUUCAUUGCUUUGCAUAAUGAUCUUGGUACAACAUUGAUAGCAAUAUUAACAAAUGCAUAGUGAUUGGUUGAAUUGUACUUGUAGAAAUUUUACAAUAAAAUUAUCUUGUAGAUUUUUUGAUAUAAUUGUAUCUAAUGUAUCUGUAAAAAUUAAAAGAAAUUUACAACAAUAUUUUACAAAAAAAAACUCAUCAGUUAUUUUUUCUAAUUUUUGAUUUUAGCUUUGAAAAAUUAAAUAAAUCAUGAUUGUUAAUAUUUAUUAUUGUAUAUAAAAAAUAAAAAAAUUGUUACAUCCUAACCGAUUCUUCCACACAUGUACGCUUACUUAAGACUCAAUAGACUCGUAACUUAGACACCGCCGCCACAAAAUUUAUAAGUGGCAAACUGUUUCUAAAUAGGGAUGUCAACUCUUUUUUUGUCAUCAGCAAACUCACAGAUUCGUGACGACUCUGCAACCAAUUUUGUAACUCUGAAUCUAUAUGGACGAUAAAAGUCGGUUGUUUUCUAGCACUACGUGUAAGGCUACCCGUCUUUGAAUUCAUCGUUCUUGGUAUAUGGAGGAGUUAGGAAGAGUAAAAAUUGCUUUUCAAAAUCUUAAUAUCUUCUAAGUAAUUUGCAAAAACUGACCAUUCUUCUGGUCCUAAAACCAUCUUCACCAACUGAGAACAACCUGUUGCAAAUGUGACCUGAUACUGACGUAAAUUCGUCAUGCAUUCUAUUGCCCAAAUAAGCCUUCUACUUCCGAAUGAAAGGGUGAGAGACUAGCUCGAGUAUUUGUGCCCCCAAUAAUCCAUCAAAACCUUCUAAAAUGAUAUACCAACCUUGUUCCAAAUGUAAAUCCUUAUCUUUCCACGAUCCAUCUGUGAAACACCAUCUGUCUGGGGUAGAAGGUGUAGUUGUAACCUCAUUCACCCUACUUUGGGUAAUCCUUUGUAUAAUUGUAGUUUGUGCCUCGGCCCAAAUUAAUGAUUAUGUUUCUGCCAGCUUGAGAGUAGUUCUAGGAUAAACAUCUAUGUUGUUAAAUUUUUUGUUAUUCCUCUCUUCCGAAAAAUACCAUAAGAUCCAUGUAAAUUGAUGAUCCUCUAUCUCCGGAGUAACUCUCCAAAACAUAUGGUCCAUAUUUGUGAAGAGUGACUAUGUUGAAAAAAUAUCUGGAUUCAAUGGGAUCCGUGAUAGUGCCCAAACUUGGAUCGCCGAUGAACAUUCAAAAAAACAUAUGGUUCACUGAUUCCUUUGGCUCUCCACAACGAGCACAACAUUUAUCGCCUUGAAUAGGGAUGUCAACUCAUCAGUUAUAUAUUCGUUUCAUCGACAAACCUCCAUUGGUAAUUUUAAGAAUUCGCCAUGCGGUAGAUAUGCAUUUUAUAGAUAAUUAUUGAUUAGGCAGACGUCUUGCCCGAUCUUUUUCUAGACAUUAUAUAGAUAAUUUUUGAUUAGACGGACGCUUGCCCAUCUUUUUAAGCCAUUCUGAUAACUUGUUUCUUCUAGACCUGAUAUGCCGGUUAUGUUGAUUUUUAAAUCACUGGUUCCAUUAACAUUUUUUUAAAUGGCUUUCAUAUUGAAAUAAAAAAAAUAUGAAAUAAAAAAAAAAGAGAAACAAAGGUUACAAAGAGAAACAAAGAAAGAAGAAGUAAAGGAAAAAAAUACAACUGAAAACUAAGGAAAAAAAAAAGACAACACAAACCAAAAUGAUCCAACCCGAGAUGGGAAUAACAGUGGCUCACAAGUAAGAAACAAGUAAAAUAUGUACGACAUACAACCGACAGCUUAAAAUGGUUCGACUACACAGACAAGUAGCGUUAGCAAACUCCGGAUCUAAUAUCCUAUUCACUAACCAAUUGCUGUUAAUCCAGAGAGGAGCCGGAGCAUCCUAACUGCUUCUAAGCAAGUAAUACCACUGACAGUUAACCGCAGAGAAAAUAAGGAGCAACAAACCAGUACGCACUCAUCAACAAUGCCAAAAAUACGGGAUGAAAAGGAGGCCGCAAGAUGAAGGAAACCACGGGACCUGCACUGAAAGGAAAAGGACCAAGUUGUAAAUACUGGUUCCAUUAACAUUAAUGUUGUAAAUACUGAAUUUCUUCUCAAAUAAAAAACAAAAUCAGUACUGAUCACAUAAUUCAAGUUAUCGAUCAGAAAGUUCCUAAAUUUACUUUGAGUUUCUUUGGAUAUAUUACCAGAAUGUUUGACGAACAGAUCAGUAAUAGAUGUUCCCUUAAAUCACAUAAGGCAUUCUUAAGUGCUAUUUUUUAAAUAGCAAAGAUCUUCUUUUUUUUUAAAAGAAAAUGUUUUGUUAACCUGUAAAACUCUGUUGCUCAAACCGUUUUCUAUAUUAUGUUAAUCGUCCUUUUGAGAUCUUAUGUUUUGUUGAAUACCUAGUUCACAGAACAAUUUAGUUCGAUAAGAUAGUUUUUAUAAAAAUUAAUAAAAGAUUUUGAAAAAUAUUCUUUGCAAUAUUUAUUGUGAUUCAAACAAUAAGUAGAAAGCACAUUUAUUCAAUUUAAAUUGUAAAACUGGAAUGUAUAGACAAUACACUUAAGAAAAUAGAUGCAUACGCAAAUUGGAAAUUAACAUUUUCUUAAAAUCUCUAUAAUAUUAUUUGAAAAAUUAGUUUUCUAUGUGUUGUUGCAUUCACGUUAAUUCUUACGACGGUUGAUUAUGAUAUACCCUUAAUAAAGUAAAAACAUUAUAACUAAUUACGAUUAUUAAAAAAAAUUAUUCUUCUUAAUUUAAUUUUCUUUUGAUUUAUAAUGUUUUUAAAUAAUAUACAUAAUAAAAGGAAACAUUAAUUUAUGAAAUAUAAAAUUUAAAACGAAAAUGUAUAAUAGAUAAUUUGAGUUCUAAAAAAAGAAAGUUCACAAUAAAAGUUUUACUAAAGGAAAAAAAUUUAAAUUUUAAAAACCAAAAUAUAUCACAUAUAAUAAUAUAUUUGACAAGUCAGUUUUCUACAUGUUGCGCUCAUCUUAAUACUUAGGACGGAUAAUUACAGAGAUACCUUUAAUAACUUAAAAAUAUUAUAUCUAAUUUCUAAUAAACUUUUAUUUAUAAUUUAAUUUUCCUUUUAUUUUUAUAUUUCGAAAUAAUAUAGCUAAUAAAAGCAAACAUUAAUUAAUUUAUAUUUUUAAAAAUAAAAUGUAUCAUAGAUAAUUUGAUUUCAUAAAAAAUAAAGUUCACAAUAAAAAUUUACUAGAGAAACAAAAUUUAAAUUUAAACAGGAAAAUAUACCAAAUACAUAAUUUUGAUUACAUAAAAAAAAGUUCACAAAAAAUAAUAUUAAUAUUACAUAUAUAUUUCUUUUAAAACAUAAUCUUAAAUAACAUAAUAUAUAUAUAUAUAUAUAUAUAUAUAUAUAUUUUUUUUUUAAAGUAAUAACAAUAUUUUCUUUAUGUCAAGCUUUAUUCUCAGAUGAUCAAAACUAACUUAGAUAACAUAACAUAAACUGAAAUUUAUUUAAUGAACUAAAAUAAUUUUAAAACACAUAUGUAUUAAAUUUUUGGUUUAUAUGACAAAAGUUAUGAAUAUGUUGAUUAAACUUUGGUAUAAAUAUAAUAUAACUUUGUAAUCCUUUUGUUUGUGUGUCUUGUUCAACAUUAUUAUACAAUUUUUAAUAUGUAAUAUACGUUGUUAUCCAUUAUUAAUCAAUUAGAACAUCUAAUUUUUGUAGAAUUUGAUAUAAAAAAAAAUUAACUGAUGAAAUAUUAAAAAUUGAAUCUAAAUGUUUAUAGUUUGCAUAUAUAUUUUGGCAUUAUUAGAUUUAUCUAAGAUAUUAUAAAAAUGUUAAGAGAAAUUUUGACAAAUCAACUAUUAUUGUUGAAAAGGACAAUAAGAAAUUGUCAAAUCAACUAUACGGAAGUGGUUUAAUGGUGAAUAGACUUUGAGAAGAUAAAUGAUCUGGAUUCGAAUCAAUUUCACCUCAUAAAUUUGAAUAAAUUUAGGUGGGUUUAUUCUUGUGGACUACAUCUCCUAUUACAAAACUAAUGUGAGUUUUUUUCAUAUAUCUAAGAUAUCUCGUAAGUUAUUCCAUUUUUUCGUCGAAUGCUCAUAUUUAGCAGAUUCAAACUCGGUUAGGACAGCUUUAGAAGAUCUAUCUCUCUCUCUCUCUCAUAAUUGUCCUUGUUGAGAGAAAAAAAAGUUAAGCGAUCUCCGAGCAUAGUUCUCGGCCGACGAUGGUGGGCUCCUUUAGCCACGUCCUCGGUCGGGUUUCUUCCUUUUUAUUUCAGUUCUGUUUAUCUUGUUUAGUUUCCGGUCCGUCAUGUGGUAUCGUUGGUUCUUCGGUACUGUAUGUUUGGUUUUUCUGUUCCAGUAUCGCACCGAUCGUUUGGUGGAUGACUGGCUUUGUUUCUGGGGCCGUGCCGUUUCUUCUUCGGUGGUGGUUGCCGGCUAUCGAAUCCUCGGAAGUGAUCGAGCUGUAUGACGUUUUUCGUUUUAGUGAUUGGGUGGUCUGGGUUUGGAUGAGAUCUUGAGUUUAUUUGAUUGAUGCUAUCCAAAACUUAGGCGUAUGUGUGGAAAGAUGCUGAAUCCGUAAAACUUCCAACACAGUCGUUGGAUGUGGUUUUCGGUGGUUGUGGUCGUGUUCCCGGUUGAUUCCGGAGUUAAAGUGAUCUGUUUGUUCCGAUAACGACUUUUAAGUCGGUGAAAUCGAUGGUGGCUCGCGUUUCCGGUGUGAUUCCGGUGGUUUCCGGUGGUUUUUGGUUCAGUUGCAGCGACGAUUCGCAGGUGGAAGAAGACGGUGAUAUUGUCUUUGCACGUGUCCCUUUUUUCUCCUGAGUUGAACACGUUGUUUUGCGUCAUCUGUUUGUUAGUGGAUAUGGGCCUGUGUUUGGUUUUCUAGUGUUGUAGUUGGGUCUUGUUGGUAGGCCAGGAUCCUUUUUCUUUUUGGAUUUUUGUUUGUAAAAAACCUUUGUUAUUAUAUAAAAUAUCAGAUUUCAGAGAAAAAAAAAUGCAGAUUCAAACUCGGUUCAGUUCAGCGGUGGCACAUGCAUUUGUGUGUUUUUUUUUACUAAUGCAUGUGUGCGGUUGUUUCCUUUUCCUUUUUUGGACAACCACGUGGUGUAGUUUUAUAUAAUAAUUUCUCAUUGAUUCUCUAUAGUUGCCUAAAUCUAUUGAACUUUGUUGGAGGUUUACAUUUUCACUUAGCCGAUACAUCAUUUAAAAUUUUCUCAUAAAUUAAUUUGAUAACCCAUUUUUCUAAGUCAUUCAAUUUUUAUAAAACUCAUUUGACUUUGAAAACUGUUCCAGCAAUCAACUCUCUAUUACAACAAAAAAUUAAGCAACAACUCCAACUUAUAAUUUUCAUUCUUCAGCUGAGAUGACUAUCUUGUCUUCACGUCUUAUUAUCAAGGGUUUGUAGUUGUUUCUAGCAGUCUUAUAUCUGUUAUCGUUUUGUUUUUUUUUGCAUAUAGGAAAAACAAUUGUAACCAAAUCCCUAGAUUAUGGUAUCCAUGAAUGUGUGUGAACUUUAACCAAAGAAACAAACGACAGCAAGUUGUAGAAGUUAUCAUGACAAUUAACUAACAUUGUCAAACGGCCAAAGCGUCGAGAGUCGAGACUUUAAAAACUAAUUUUUAUUGUUCGGUUAAAAUGUGAUCUAUUUCCGUUACAAAAAAACUGUGUUCUAUUUAUACAAUUAAAUGUAAUAAAUUAAUAGUUAUAUGAGAUUUUACAAUUUUGUAAUAUUUAUAUUGUAUUUGAAGUGAAUUUAAAUUAUAAAUAAGCAUAAAAUUGAAAUAAAAUAUGAGUUCAAGUCUCUAAUUAUUAAUUACCCAGCUAAAUUAAGCUUUUGUUUUCAUAUUUUUUUAUUUUUAUGGGGUCAAACUAUAAAAUUUGGUGGUGUCAUAAUAUUUUUUUAUGAAAGAAAAACUUAUAUUUUAUAAAUUAGGUGCGGUCGGCUGACCCCCUCCAUCCUCUAUACGUAUCAGACUUGAAUUGAAACAAAAUUACUAAAUACUCUUCAAAAACACCAUGAGGGUUUUUCUUGACAAAAUGACUUGUAUUUUUCUCAUUACAACUCACGUGCAAGUUGACUAUUAAAGAUACUUUUAAAAAUAAAUUAAUUAACAUCCGUAAUUAACUGACUAUCUCUUCUAAUGAAUAGACUAGAAAUAGAAUUUUAUUUCUGUCUGUCUCUUCCUAUGUAUGGGUUAUAUAUAUAGACUUUUCUCUUUUCUUCAAUGUUGCCACAUUUCAGAUUUCUAGUAAUUGGUUUUCAGAAAUGGCGGAGGGAACGUUCAAGGUAUUGCUGUGGGGUUUAGCAGCAAUGGUGUUUGCAAUGGCCGAAGGGGCUCGUGGACAGCGCGUGCCUUGCUAUUUCGUUUUCGGAGACUCAGUUUUCGACAACGGUAACAACAAUGACUUGAACACCUCCGCUAAAGUUAACCAUUCACCUUAUGGUAUGGAUUUAGCUAGAGGUCCCACGGGCCGAUUCAGCAAUGGCCGUAAUAUUCCCGACUUUAUCGGUUAGUCCCUGGCUUGUUUUAUUUCUUUGCCCAAAUGUUUUCGAUGAAAUUACUAAUAGAUACUAUUAACUAGAAAAGACAAACGUAUCAUAACGUAUUCUUUGCCUAACUGGAAGUUUAGAAUGUAGGCAUUUCUCUUUUAGCUGAUAUUUUCAAUGGAACAUAAAAAGAAAUGCAAACAUUAGAACUAGACAGUGUUAUGCAGAACAGUCAUAGAUGCAAAUUAAGAGACUAUGUAAGUAGAUAAAUAAAGUUUUGCUUAUCACACAUCCACAUAGGUGGUUUAAAGUUUCUCAAAAUAUAUAAAUAAAUAAAAGAGAAGUAAAAGGAUGAGAAAGGUAAGAAAAUCUCUCCGUUGAGAGACUAUAUCACACAAAACGAUCUCUUCGUGAGAGACUAUAUAUAACACUUCUGGAAAAAAAAAACAUUUGCUUAGUUUUUAGACAUUCAUUGUUUAAAAAUCUAAAAACAUCAAUUUUUGUUUUGUUUUGAAACUCUGCUGAGUCUCUGGCGAUAAAUAUCAUUGAUUAAUAGCAACUCCAAUAUUGGAGAUACUUACUUGAGGAUCUGAAUAAAUAUCAUUACUUUUGAAUAUGUUUAGUUUUAAUUUUAGACAAAAAUAAUGAUUUAAAAAGAUGACAAGUGUCCCUAUAGUUUCUUAAGAUCAUCUCCACCCACUGUUAUAUUUAUCUUUAUAAUAAUAUUUAGGGAUAAAAUUAUUCUAAAUCAUCUUUAUUUCUUAAAAAUAAAAAAAAUUACUCUUUUUUCUAUUUUUUUUUUGACGUCUACUCUUUCAUCUUUAUUAUAAAGUUUUUUUUUUAUUUUAGAGAAAAAAUAGCAAAAUACAUUAAAGAUAGUUUAAAAUAUUCUUGUGACCUCUCAAAUGACAGAGGGGGUCUCAAAAUGUCUUACCUCUCAUACUUUUUGAGUUUAUAUUGUUUUAUUGUUUACAUAUCUUAUCUAAUUACUGACGAUGAGCAUGGCCUAAUGAUGCCCUAAUGUAUUUAAGAAUCAAUUUCCCAAAAGGAAAAAACAAAUUUUGUGAAUGGUUUCUUGUGAAUCUGUUACUUUUUUUAAAGGUUAUUGUGUUUAUCAUUCAUAAGUAUUGUAUAUGGUUUCUUGUCUAAUAUGAGUUUGAAUUAUGUUGUGUUUAGCUGAACUAAUGAGAUUCAGUGAUUACAUUCCACCUUUCACCGGAGCAUCGCCGGAACAAGCUCACACCGGUUUAAAUUACGCUUCUGGCGGCGCGGGAAUUCUCGAAGAUACUAGCUACCAUCUGGUAAGAACAUAAUUUAGAAGCAAAAGAGAUCAAAAUAAAGAUAUCUUUAUUUUUCCUCGGGUAUUUCAUUUUUACCAAUACUACUAUAUCUACAUAUAUGGUUAAGUAACUUUCCUAAACGUACUACUAAAUUUAGUAAUACUGAUUCAAAAGACGCGCAGUGAUCAUAUGUUCUCAUUUGGUGGCUCUAAUGUCUGGCUGAUACGAAACUAAUUAGUAAAUUGAGAUUUUGUAUCUGAAAGUUUGAGGUUUCAAACCUAACUUAGAAAAAGACAAUUUAAAAUGUUGUGAUUCCCUGUCCAAUGAAUAUACACAAAUAAUUUUGUAAAUGUUUUAGGUGACUAUAAAUAAUUUUUUUUUUAAAGCAAAUAAUCAUUUGGUUUUGUUGAUUUGCUUUCUCUUUUCUCUUUUUUCUGGCAGGGAUCCUAAAUAUGACUCGCUUAUUUGUAUUUUUUGUGUUUAAACACUUAAAUUAAUUACUUACGCAUUAUGAUAUUUCUUACGAUAGGGUGAUAGAAUCAGUUUUAAAACGCAAAUCAAGAACCACCGGACGGCGAUUAUGACUGCAAACGUGCCCCCGGAGAAGCUGAAGCAAUGUCUAUACACUAUUAAUAUAGGAAGCAAUGAUUAUCUUAACAACUACUUCAUGCAAGGUGAUAAGUACAAUACACAACGCAAGUACACUUACGAUCAAUUUGCUGAUUCCCUCAUUCGACAUUAUCGCUCUUUACUGAAGGUAAUAUUGCCCAAGGUUUUGAAAAGAAAAUUAAUAAAGGAAUUAUAAACCUUCAUAUUUCAUUGAAAUAACUUUUGACAUUAUAAAUAGUUGAUUAAUUUCCAUAUAAAACAUGAUGCAGAGUAUUGGAUAUAUCUCUACAAAUUUUACUCCUAGUUAAUUAUCUAUAAACCGAUUAAUUAGAGACAUUUGUUUUUGUAUAAGUUGUUGUAUGUCCAAGGAGCAAGGAAGGUUGCUUUGUUUGGGGUCAGUAGGAUAGGGUGCACCCCGCGGAUGAUCGCCUCCCAUGCUGGUGGUAUGGGCUGUGCCGCUGAAGUGAACAAAGCAGUUGAACCUUUCAACAUGAACCUUAAAGCUCUGGUCAGAGAGUUCAACACUAACUUCGCCGAUGCUAAGUUCACUUUUGUCGAUAUGUACACCGGGCAAACUCCUUUUGCGUAUGCUGCCUUAGGUAAGUAAUACUAAAUAUAUUGAACUGAAAGUUUUGACCCAAGAUGAAAUCAUUUUACCGGAUUAAAAACAUAUAGUAUAAUACUAAUUAAAAUACACUGUUUUCAUUAAGGUGUUCUAAGGAAUACCAGAGUUAAGUUUCCCAAAAUACACAAGGAAAUUUUUUGGAAAGGUUUAUGAUCAACUCCUUCCUAAUGGCUUUACUAAUCCAGUUGUAUGAUCAGCUAUUAAGCUUUUUGAAGAUGAUUCCUAGAUAAAUAAAAAACUUCAUUAACUUUUCAUAAUCGUGUUCCUGGAAUACUUGAUAUCUUAAAAUCAAAUAUUUUCCUUCGUUUUCAUUUUCUUCUGAAAUAUAAAUUUAAAUCUUCAUUUUGUCACAACUCUAAGAGAUUUGAUCAGUUAGAUCAUUUAUUUUCCAUAGUAGUACAAUUGCAGUAAAAUCACGAUAAAACUUAUAAUAUUGGAUUGUGAUCCUAUAAUUUGAUCAUGCGUAUACUUUUAACAAAAAAUGUAAAAAUAAUUAUGCGUAUUUUUACAUUCUUGUAGGGUUUGCUGUAACACAAAAGAGUUGUUGUACGGUAGAAUCAGGGGAAGAACUAUGUGCGGCGGAUAAACCGAUUUGUGCGUUUCGAGACCGGUACGUGUACUGGGACAAUGUCCACAGCACUGAGAGGGCCAACAUGUUUGUGGCAAAGGCUGCUUUUGCCGGAAUCGUUGCUUUUCCUUACAGCAUUGCCUUGCUUGGAAUAGUAUAGGGAUAAUAAUAUACUCGAAACCAUUCAUUUUCUUUUGUUGGAUAUUUAUAUAUAUGAUCUUUGUUUUUAAUUUAAUUGUUUUAUUGAACAAGGAAACUUUGUUUCAUUUCAACAGGUGAUUUUUUUGUGCACCAAAUUCUUAUAUUAAAAAUUGACCGUCCAAUAGGCUUAUAAGGUUACAAGUAUAGGUAACCUCGACGACUAAACGAUAAAAAUAAACUACAACAACAAUAACGGAUAGAGGUGUUAAAGGGCCGAAGAUACCCAUAGAAAUGCUUUACUUAAAACUGAUGUUCCCAGUACUGAUAUUGGGAUAAUGAGCGGGUCUGAAGACGGUUGGUAUCUCAUUUGCUUCAGUGAUUAGAUUCUCUCCGGUGAUCAAAUGUUAGUUUAUCAACAAAAAAUAUAUGUCCGUCACUCAAAUGUUGGAAAAUGAUCCGCAGUUUAGUAAAGAAAAAUCAAAUGAUCUUAUUCCUCAGGUUGUAGAAUGAUAAGGCCCUUCAAACUAAUUUAGCAAAAUGAAACUAGCUAUAAUGUGCCAACGGUAUUAUAACUUGUAAUCAUUUUUCUGCUAUUCUGUUCAAACUAUAUCCACGAGUUGAGGCCUAUAUAUGCUCAAUAAAUAAUACUAUUAGCAAGGCUUGAAAAGCUAUCAUGUUCACAAAUUAUAAUUGGUCUAAUUGAAUUUUAGCAAUAUAUUUUUUGUCUCAAUUUUAGCUAUCGCACAAACAUACGUUCCAUAAUUAAAUCUUCUGAUGGAUUGCUACAAUGAUAGUCUUAAACAGCUAUAUAUGGAUUUGACAAAUAACCCGUUCUUAGUCAAAUGCAUUAAGAUCAUUCCAACUGUUUUUUUUUUUUUUUUUAAGAAAGGUUUUCUAACAUUCCAACUGUUGAUAUAGACAAACUCAUCUCUAAAUUCAAUAUAUACCACAUACUUAGUAAGCAAAAAUAUAAAGUUUAACUAUAUAUGUGUAAAUGUGUUAUUACAAAUGAAGAAUCACACCAACAGUAGUAGAAUCCCUACUUGAAUCCUUAUUCAAAUGGAAAUGAAAUGCAUAUAUAUAUAUAUAUAUAUAUAUAUGAAUACUUGUGUGUAUAUAUAGAACCCUAGAUAUCUUCAUAUAAGUGUUUCUUGAAGGCCUCCAUGUGAGCUACCUGUAGACACGUGGCGAGAAUCAGCGAGCCGUCAUCAUUUUUAUCAGGUAGUAGCAGAGAGCCCCCGUCGCCGUCAUGCGUGCAUGGUCCCAUGUGGACCUCCUUUCCCCACCCGAAAUCAAGGCCGUACAUUGGUAGAGUUAACCAGCUCACAAGUCCAAGAUUAGGGUUUCCGUAGAAUGGACCGUCCGUGCUGCCCAACGCAUGUAUAUCUUGAAACGUCUUCAGAUCCUCAUGGUUUUUUAGAUACUCUAUUCCAGUCAUUACGUAUUCGUUUGUCACACUCUUUAUGGCUUCACUAAUUUUUUCGGCCGCGAAACCCAACCCAUUCGAUAUGAGUUCACCUAUAUAAGAAAAUUUAUCGAAAUAUAGAAAUCGCAUUGUAUGAUAUCCCUAAAUACCUAUUAGUGUGAAAUUAGUUAGCUACAUUAAACUCCCAGAAUCGGGGGGAAAUAAGACUGGUCUGACUAAACGUGCAUGAUAAGCUACCAAGAGUUCUUUCAUCUAUAUUUGAAUUCCUAUUGUAAAUGUUCAAGAAGUAUAUUCUUUCUAAUGCUAGCUUACAUAUCCGAUUGAAAAUAUUUUUAACUGACUGCGAUUAGAUUGAUUGAGAUGGUGAUGUAUUAUUGUUUAGGCCAACUCCAAUAAUACUAAAAAACCAAAUUAGUGUAAUUUUUUUAAUUGUAAACUAAAAGGAUUAAACCCGGGUCUAUUAAAGACAUAAAUCUAAUCUCCGGGUGGAGGUACAAUCCACAGAUAGACUCUCUCCUGGAUAUUCAAAUGAUCCGAAAGCAAUAGUCCAUAUCUGUGUGGCCAACGGGGUUUCGCUAUAUUGGGUUUAUUUCUCUCAAGCGAAUUAGUGCAAUUUUACUCUCACGAAAUUAUAUAGAUAAAGUCGUAUCACUAAAUUUGAUAUUUUGUGAAUAGUAUUACACCAAACUUGGUGAACAAUAUUCAUUGCACCAAACAAUUAAAUAAUAUAUUUUAUUUUUAUUUAAUAAGAAAUUAAAUUAAUGUUAUUAAUUAGUUUAAAAUAUUAAAAGUAAUAUAUUUGUAUUUUCAUAUAUUUUCUCAACACUGAAUCUUAAAUUAUAUUUUUAUUUAAUAAUAUUGGUAAAUUACUACAUUAAAUAGUUAAAUUUUGUAACAAAAAUAACUAUAAUAUAUUGUUUUGUAUUUUCCUUUUCAAUAAUAUGAUAUAAAUAUCAAAGUAUUUAAAUAAUUAAAAUUUAUUUCUAGAACAAAUCUCAGCAAAAACAAAAACAAAAACAAAAUAGCAGCAGAAAAAUUAGAUUAAACAACUUUUAAAAUUUGUCAAAACGUACCUGAGGUGCUUCUUGCGACCGCAUUAAUAGUGGCAUUGCCAAAGUAGCCGCGUGGUAAAGGUGGCUGCACCCGACUACGAGUAUCUACACAGAUUCCCAGAGACGUGGGUUGUUCUGGGGAGUGCCCACGUGCUUUAGACGCGCACCUCCACACAUGUCCCGCGACCGUCUCGUACCUUGUAAACCCUCUAGCUGGGUCAGCGUAUUCACUUGUAUUCACUCUGCUUCUAAGCUUCUCAAUCAAAGUUUUGCUAAGUUUUAGUAUCUCUACAGUUGUUUUCUUCUUUCUUUCUUCUACAUUGUCCGUUUCUCCGAUCAGCAACGGUGGCUGUUCAAACCCUUUGCGUUCGCACUGAGGUGGGGAGGCAAACGGCGGAAGCGGUUUACCAGUCCAGAGGAUUUUGCGGUCGAGAAAUGGAGUGGUUUCAAGAGGUUCCCCGCGAGCGAUUCUUCCCCAUUCAGACAAGAAGUGAAACGCGCUCUGUCCAUCGACCACCGCGUGUGAAAUGCUGACGCCGAGGCUUAUUCCGCCGCAUUUAAAUCUGGUGACCUGAGCUAAGAAGAGAGGGAUCGUUUCAAUAGGGUGUUUGUAGUUUACUUGCGGAACAAGUUUCUCAAAUUCUGGCGUUGGAGAGAAAUCGUUGAAAUCUGAAAGUUUUGCCUCGGACUCGGCUUCCAUGAAUGACACUCCCUCCGCGUUACAAUCAAGCUCUAACCGCCCCCGAGGGAGCCACUUAAGACGGCCGGCCAUAGGGUAGAAGUGAAAAAGCGCACGGCUCAACGAGUUUCUUAGGGUUUCGACUACAUUGCCCUGGAACAAUUCAGAUGGCUUGUUAUAGAAGUAAACGGUAGGAACGUGAGUUAUUGUACCAACUAGAUCCCAUUCGGCUAAUGGAAAACAACCGGCCCAUGUAGGUUCAGAGGGUACGAUGGUAUAAAUAUUUCUUAGGAUGAUAGGAGCCAUAUCAUAAACCAGUUUUCUUUUUGAGUUUCGUCGACGUAAAGUAGUAUUUAUAUAAUAUAUUGAAUCGUAUGAGUUUAUCAUUAUUUUAUAGCACUUUUUAAAAAUGUAUUUCUCGUGAUUUAGUUUGUUUCCUUGUAGACGGCUUAUCUUGUGGAAGUGAUAAUAAGGUUUACUUGUUGGUAUGUGUGCUCAUGCUUAUUGUCCUUUUCUUAAUUUAACUCACUCAAUCGAUUAAUAUUCCAAUAUAUUUUUAAAAGACCUGUCUACAUAAACCGAAUAUAUUACAUUUACAAUGAAGAAUCUAAUAUUUCUUAGUUAUUCAUAUGGCUGAUGUAACAUACGAUUACGCAUUUACAAUCUUAUUGGAAAGAAUGGCUGAUGUAACAAACAUGUCUGACCAUGAGUCGAACCAGAAUGACCUGGUCACCACAUAGAAGUGAAGAUGGGAAUCGUAUAUCAUUCUGGUUCGACUCAUAGUCACAUUUGGGGCGCGUCUCCUUAAUAGGACCUAAAAAUUGUAUCCACAUGGGAAUAAGGACAAAGCAUCGGCUCACUGAUCUGUUUAAUACAAUAGAGAGAAUGCGUUGAGGCACAAUGAGCAAAGAGAACUGUGGGUAAUGUAAACUUAAAUCGAAGUCAAAUUAAACUUCAGGUGGAUCUAUUGGUAUAUGAUAGUUUCGAAGGGGAAAUAAGUCGUUUUCUCAAAAGGUUUUGCUUUCUGAAACCAAACCAGCGUUUUAGUUUAAUUGAUCUACUCUUCGUCAUAACCUAAUAUCAAAACAGCGUCAAUGAAGGACGAAUUUGGAUCCACUGAGAACAUGAGAGCAUAUGCAAUGGUGGACUCUUUCUUGGAGUUCUUACCAUUAUUUUAGUUUUUUUUUUUGUUUGAAUAGUUAAUGAUUCUAGUAAAAAUGGUGUGUUCAAUAGUGAUCUCUGAUUAGGAAUCCUUACAUAGAUAUAUAUAUUUCCCUCUAUCCAAUGAGACGCGGCCACGUCACUAAGGACUUAAUCCUUAAACUCCUUGUCUAAAGGAUUGCUCCUUACCGAAUUGGACUUUGAUAAUAUUACUAGGGUCGGCCCGCCCUACGGGCGGGAUGAGAAUUAAAAAAAUAAUUAAAAUAGUUAGACUAUAUAUAUUAUAUAAAUUGUUAUUAUAUAAGAAAUAGGGUCAGUCAUGUGUUCUAUGUAAUUAUAUAAUUGUAUACUUUCGUUGUAUUUUGUUCGUUUUUGCAAAAGCAGUGUAUUUUUUUGACAUUAUGGUCUUAAAUGGUUUUAGGGUUUGUAGGGAUUAUGUUUGAGGUGUAUGUGGACUUUCUUAUUGUAUUUUUUUUAUAGUUAGUAGUCCAUAAUUUGUUGGUGAAUUGUGUGUUUCUAUAAUUUGGACUCUUAUGUGUGUGGGCGUGUAUAUUAUGUCACUCAGCUCAACACCUACAAACUUAUUUGAAGUAUCUUAGGUUCCAAGUAAAGUGUGCAUUACGGUUUUUGAGAAGAUUGUUCAUUGCUGUUUUAAAGGAGAUAAAGUUAUAACUAUUAAUUUGAAGCAUAAGGACAACACAUGUAAGCGAGGAGAAUUUAUUCAUUGAAAUGAGAAUGUAACAUUUGGUGUGAAAGUAUAAAAAUAGAAAACCGAUUUUGAAAACUAUGCUAAACGGAAUGUAGUACUUAUAGUUCUUAUGGGUCCGAAAUUAAGAAAACAAUGAAGAACAUUUAUGAUUAAUUUAUGGUUAGUUUAAUAAAAAACUUAUUAUAUAUUUAUAUGGACCAACAUAUUUUUCUAAGGAUUCUAAGAAUGAUUGUGGUGAUGACAUGUGGCUACAAAAAUAUGUUGUAAUGCUUCUCUUUUAAUAUAUAGGGGAUAACUGUUCUUUUGAAUAUUGUUUUUUUUUAAUUGUAUUUUUUGAUUAAAUUAUUGUAUUAUAAUUUUUAUGUAAAUAUUUUUUGUGAUGUUUGAAUUUGUGAUAUUCGUAUACUUAACCUAGAUGAUAUUGAUGUUUAACAAUUUAUUGUUUUCUGGAAAUAGAAAAUAAUGAUAUAUCAAAACGUAUCUUAUGUAAAUUACAUCCAUUAUUUGAAAAUAACAAUUUAUUGUUUUUAUUUUUUUAAAAUCAGAAAUUAUAUUUAUUUUAAAAAUUAUUCAUAUAUAAUAUAAUAGUUAAAGUUUGGAACAUUAAUAUAUAUAUAAAUUAUGUAUAUUUUAAAAAAAAAAAUUUAAGAUAUUAUAUAUUGAGUAACUGAAUAAAAACUGAAUUUCUUAUCUUGAAAAUCAAAUAUUUAUAUUUUGUCUUCAUGUUAUACACACCAAUCCAUCAUUGAUAUUUAUAACUCAGUAUGUUUUUAAAAAAAAAACUUAGUUUUAAGAAAUAAAUGAAUUUAGUAAAUUAAAUUCAUCACCUAUAAUGUUCUGUAAACUAUAUUUGAAAACUCUCUAAAAUUAUAUUUUAAGCAUAACAUUACUAUUAUUUAAUUUAAGUUAUUUUAAGCAUAAUAUAUGCUAAACCAAUUUAAAUUAUAUUUACAAUAGGACUAUCCUAAACCGGUUAAUAAACCAAAAACAAUACUAAACCAACAUGAACCAAUACCUGAUUCGGUGAGGAAGGAAGUGUUUCGGGAUAAACGCUUUAAUGGUUAUUAACUGUAAUAGUUUGAUCAUGAAAGAGUUACUAUGAAUAUUAACAAUAAAAUUAUGGAUUAGAUUAAUUAAAUUUGUAAGAAUACCUUUGAGUCUAUGAAAAGCAAUUCAAUUCCCAUAAAUAAGUUUGGCUUUUGAAAGUUGCGGGUUUCCCAACAAUGAAUCCACCUAACAAAAAGUUUGUUGUUAUAAAAAAUCUCAUUCAAGGUCAUUAAAGGUUUUUGGGACGGCAAAAGUUGAUGGUGGAACCAUUUUUUUGCUCGAGUGCUUUGAAGUUUUCCUUGAUAGGGUGAGGUUGAUGGAAUAAUGAGUUUUAUAAAGAUUUUCUUGAUGUAAAACUAUAAAUUUUUGUUUUUUUUUGUUUAAUGUGGUAUUUCAAUUUUUAUAUAAUUUACUACCAUUUUAAGAGAUAUGUACAUUUUAAGAUAGAUGUUUAAAUCUUAAUGUAUUUUUUCCAUUUUUUAAAAUGUUUAUUUCCAUUUCUUAUAUUUUUAUUUACGUAAUAUCUAUAUUUUAUAUUUAAAAAUAUAUAUUUAAAUCUUAAUGUACUUUUUCCAUUUUUUUUAAAUUGUGUAUUUACUUAUAUUAUAUAUUUUACAUUUUAAGAUAGAUGUUUAAUGCUUAAUGAACUUUUUCCAUUUUUAAAAAAAAAUGGUGUAUUUACUUAUUAUUAUAUAUAUAAUUCAUAUAUUAUAUAUUUACAUAACGGGUGUGUUUCAAAAAAAAAAAAAAAAAAAAAAAAAAAAAGAAACUACAACAACAAUAAUACGGAUAGAGGUGUUAAAGGGCUGAAGAUACCCAUAGAAAUGCUUUAGUUGAAACUGAUGUUCCCAGUACUGAUAUUGGGAUAUGAGCCGACAAAAGAGGACUCUAAUGAACGGGUUCGAAGACGGUUGGUAUCUCCUUUGCUUCAAUGAUUAGAUUCUCUCCGUUGAUCAAAUAUUAGUUUAUCAACAAAAAAUAUAUGUCCGUCACUCAAAUGUUGGAAAAUGAUCCGCAGUUUAGUAACGAAAAAUCAAAUGAUCUAUUCCUCAGGUUGUAGAAUGAUAAGGCCCUUCAAACUAAUUUAGCAAAAUGAAACUAACUAUAAUGUGCCAACGGUAUUAUAAUUUGUAAUCAUUUUUCUGCUAUUCUGUUCAAACUAUAUCCACGAGUUGAAGCCUAUAUAUGCUCAAUAAAUAAUACUAUUAGCAAGGCUUGAAAAGGUAUCAUUUUGGCAAAUUAUAAUUGGUCUAAUUGAAUUUUAGCAAUAUAUUUUUUGUCUGAGUUUAAGCUAUCGCACAAACAUACUUUCCGUCAUUAAAUCUUCUGAUGGAUUGCUACAAUGAUAGUCUUAAACAGCUAUAUAUGGAUUUGACAAAUAACCCGUUCUUAGUCAAAUGCAUUAAGAUCAUUCCAACUGUUGAUAUAGACAAACUCAUCUUUAAAUUCAAUAUAUACCACAUAGUAAGCAAAAAUAUAAAGUUUAAAUAUAUAUGUGUAAAUUUGUUAUUACAAAUCAAGAAUCACACCAACAGUAGUAGAAUCCCUACUUGAAUCCUUAUUCAAAUGGAAAUGAAAAUGCAUAUAUAUAUGAAUACUUGUGUGUAUAUAUAGAACCCUAGAUAUCUUCAUAUAAGUGUUUCUUGAAGGCCUCCAUGUGAGCUACCUGUAGACACGUGGCGAGAAUCAGCGAGCCGUCAUCAUUUUUAUCAGGUAGUAGCAGAGAGCCCCCGUCGCCGUCAUGCGUGCAUGGUCCCAUGUGGACCUCCUUUCCCCACCCGAAAUCAAGGCCGUACAUUGGUAGAGUUAACCAGCUCACAAGUCCAAGAUUAGGGUUUCCGUAGAAUGGACCGUCCGUGCUGCCCAACGCAUGUAUAUCUUGAAACGUCUUCAGAUCCUCAUGGUUUUUUAGAUACUCUAUUCCAGUCAUUACGUAUUCGUUUGUCACACUCUUUAUGGCUUCACUAAUUUUUUCGGCCGCGAAACCCAACCCAUUCGAUAUGAGUUCACCUAUAUAAGAAAAUUUAUCGAAAUAUAGAAAUCGCAUUGUAUGAUAUCCCUAAAUACCUAUUAGUGUGAAAUUAGUUAGCUACAUUAAACUCCCAGAAUCGGGGGGAAAUAAGACUGGUCUGACUAAACGUGCAUGAUAAGCUACCAAGAGUUCUUUCAUCUAUAUUUGAAUUCCUAUUGUAAAUGUUCAAGAAGUAUAUUCUUUCUAAUGCUAGCUUACAUAUCCGAUUGAAAAUAUUUUUAACUGACUGCGAUUAGAUUGAUUGAGAUGGUGAUGUAUUAUUGUUUAGGCCAACUCCAAUAAUACUAAAAAACCAAAUUAGUGUAAUUUUUUUAAUUGUAAACUAAAAGGAUUAAACCCGGGUCUAUUAAAGACAUAAAUCUAAUCUCCGGGUGGAGGUACAAUCCACAGAUAGACUCUCUCCUGGAUAUUCAAAUGAUCCGAAAGCAAUAGUCCAUAUCUGUGUGGCCAACGGGGUUUCGCUAUAUUGGGUUUAUUUCUCUCAAGCGAAUUAGUGCAAUUUUACUCUCACGAAAUUAUAUAGAUAAAGUCGUAUCACUAAAUUUGAUAUUUUGUGAAUAGUAUUACACCAAACUUGGUGAACAAUAUUCAUUGCACCAAACAAUUAAAUAAUAUAUUUUAUUUUUAUUUAAUAAGAAAUUAAAUUAAUGUUAUUAAUUAGUUUAAAAUAUUAAAAGUAAUAUAUUUGUAUUUUCAUAUAUUUUCUCAACACUGAAUCUUAAAUUAUAUUUUUAUUUAAUAAUAUUGGUAAAUUACUACAUUAAAUAGUUAAAUUUUGUAACAAAAAUAACUAUAAUAUAUUGUUUUGUAUUUUCCUUUUCAAUAAUAUGAUAUAAAUAUCAAAGUAUUUAAAUAAUUAAAAUUUAUUUCUAGAACAAAUCUCAGCAAAAACAAAAACAAAAACAAAAUAGCAGCAGAAAAAAUAGAUUAAACAACUUUUAAAAUUUGACAAAACGUACCUGAGGUGCUUCUUGCGACCGCAUUAAUAGUGGCAUUGCCAAAGUAGCCGCGUGGUAGAGGUGGCUGCACCCGACUACGAGUAUCUACACAGAUUCCCAAAGACGUGGGUUGUUCUGGGGAGUGCCCACGUGCUUUAGACGCGCACCUCCACACAUGUCCCGCGACCGUCUCGUACCUUGUAAACCCUCUAGCUGGGUCAGCGUAUUCACUUGUAUUCACUCUGCUUCUAAGCUUCUCAAUCAAAGUUUUGCUAAGUUUUAGUAUCUCUACAGUUGUUUUCUUCUUUCUUUCUUCUACAUUGUCCGUUUCUCCGAUCAGCAACGGUGGCUGUUCAAACCCUUUGCGUUCGCACUGAGGUGGGGAGGCAAACGGCGGAAGCGGUUUACCAGUCCAGAGGAUUUUGCGGUCGAGAAAUGGAGUGGUUUCAAGAGGUUCCCCGCGAGCGAUUCUUCCCCAUUCAGACAAGAAGUGAAACGCGCUCUGUCCAUCGACCACCGCGUGUGAAAUGCUGACGCCGAGGCUUAUUCCGCCGCAUUUAAAUCUGGUGACCUGAGCUAAGAAGAGAGGGAUCGUUUCAAUAGGGUGUUUGUAGUUUACUUGCGGAACAAGUUUCUCAAAUUCUGGCGUUGGAGAGAAAUCGUUGAAAUCUGAAAGUUUUGCCUCGGACUCGGCUUCCAUGAAUGACACUCCCUCCGCGUUACAAUCAAGCUCUAACCGCCCCCGAGGGAGCCACUUAAGACGGCCGGCCAUAGGGUAGAAGUGAAAAAGCGCACGGCUCAACGAGUUUCUUAGGGUUUCGACUACAUUGCCCUGGAACAAUUCAGAUGGCUUGUUAUAGAAGUAAACGGUAGGAACGUGAGUUAUUGUACCAACUAGAUCCCAUUCGGCUAAUGGAAAACAACCGGCCCAUGUAGGUUCAGAGGGUACGAUGGUAUAAAUAUUUCUUAGGAUGAUAGGAGCCAUAUCAUAAACCAGUUUUCUUUUUGAGUUUCGUCGACGUAAAGUAGUAUUUAUAUAAUAUAU
rnacentral:lncRNA from 1 species